rnacentral:lncRNA from 1 species
CUACAGGGCUCCAAAUGAGGUGAUUCCAAAACGAGGUGAAAGGUCUCGUCUUGAAAUUCAAUUUAGGCUCAAGAAUCACUUAAUUUGAGUGCGUAAAACGGGAUUUAUGGCCACGAAAUAAUUCUGGGCAGAAGUGGAUUUUCUGGAAUUAUGAUUUGAAAAAACAAGGUUGAAGAUGAAAGGAAGGAAAGAAUCACUCUUUCCGGCGAGAGCAACACACAAAGGUUGUGAAAGUCCUUUGAUACAGCCAGAGUGUUCUUGAAUCACUCAAGAAUUUAGGAGAAUCACUCUCACUAAGAUAAAAGAGAUAAACUCUAAUUUUCUGAAUAAAACUCAACUUGUAUUUAUUGAUAAAAUGGUUCAGCUUAUAUAGAAGCUUUACAGCAGAUUUUAGUAAUGACCCACUAACCUAGAAUUAAAAUAACUUAAUGCCAUUAAUCUAGGGAAUUAAAAAAACUUAAUGGCUGAGUGUAACUGAAAUUGUCGCAACCAAAAGUCACCCCCAACAGCCAACAAGUCAGCCACCAUUUGGUCUCCCAAAAGGCUGAUGCCUAGGUUGCCAAUUGGGCCCUUAUUACAACUUGAACUAAACCUAACUAAAUCCCUUUUAGUUGAUUAACCCAAAACUUAUUUUUGGUCAGUCAACUUUACAAGGAUUGGGCCAUUAUUUAGACAAACUAAACACUCUAAAAUUGAGACAAAGCGGUGUCAUUUAGUCCUCCUCCAUUUGGGUCAUGAUACAACUCACAACCUUGGACUUUUCUCCUUGAAACUUGGGCUUGUAUUCAAAUAGUAUGGACAGCACUUGUUGAAGAGCUUCCUUGGCUUUCCUUGCUCUAGCCCUUGUCAUAGGUCCUCCAAGUCCUUCAAGUGGAUCCUUGCCCUUGCUCUUGGUCAUGUCCUCAUCAUUAUGCUUGCUACUUUGUUGACAAAUCUAUACAAUGUUUUAUUUGGAAAGGUCAAUUACAUAGUGUCUUUUGUGUUUCUCAACUCAUAAAUAUAUGUUCAUGGUCAUUCACAUGUGAUUGAGUAGGAUAAUAUUCAAGUAAAGGCAAACAUAACCUUUCAGAAUUUACCGUUGGGAUUGAGGACCAAAGGGUUAAGUAGAUAAGAGGAAAGGAAAUUGAUUUGGUCAAAGUCAUUUUGGGAGGAGCUAUUGAGAACAAUGCUACAUGAGAGUGGGAAAGUCAUAUGAGGUACUUGUAUUCAAACUUGUUCACUUCAUGUGAAUCGAUAAUGGAUGUUCGUAUGUGCAUGUGUAGCCUGGAUAUGUAUAUCUCUUAGUAUAGGAUUAGAAUAUGAAAUCAUAAUAAAAUGGAUAUUGGCAUUGACUUUUAAUUGGUAAAAAGAAAAAACCAAUAAUAAGAAUCGACAUGUACCCGUGCGUACCCAUGUGUGUCAAGUAUUGUUUUCUUUUGCAAGCAAAACAUGUACAUGAUGGGCAAGGUUUAGUUUUAGUUAUAUUUUAUAACAGAAAGAAUGGUACUGGAUUGUACACAGAUGAUGAGCAUAUUUCCCUUCCUACUUUUAUUUUCUUUGUUAACAAUAGUAAGAUAAAGAUUUUAUUUUUUAAUCUUUUUCUCUUUCUCUCUAACAAAGGAUUUUUACUUUUUUAUCAUUGUUUUUUAAUUAACUCAUGCAUUGGUUUAUGACAUUAAUUAAGUAACAAUUCUACUUUUUGAUGUUGCUUAAAUCAUAAAAAGUAUAGAAUAAUCAUUUGCUAUCUAAAGCUUUUUGCGCAUAAAGUUGUCGUCCUCUUUGAAUAAAUAAAAACAAAUAAAAGUGUUCUUUCUAUAAAAAUAAUAAAAAUCAAAAAAUAAUUUUUUGGGAUAAGGUAAACAUUUAAAGUUACAUGAUUUUGCGCAAAUAAUUAAAGGUACCAUUUUCUUUAAUGGGCGUUGUAGGAUCUAACACCUUCCCUACACGUAAUCGACUCUCGAACUUAUCUUUGAUUUCAAAGAUCAUUUUCAAAAGGGUGUUCCAAUGUUUUCCUCUCAAAAUAAAAUAUUGGUGAUGACUUCAUUUUUAUAUUUUUUUACGUCGCCCCAUAGUGACUCUGAUUGCGACAAAUGGUGACUCUAUUGGGGACUUUAAGAGAGUCAAGCCUUAUAUAAUUGAUUGCGCAAAAUUAUAAUUUUUUAAAAUAUAUUUUUUUACCCCUAUUUUAUUUUCUUGUGUAAUGUGUUCUAUUUUUAGAUAUUCUAUUUUUUUAUUAGCUUUGUCUCAACUUUAGGACAAAAGACUAUUACUAUGGAUAUAUUUGUUUGUUUCUUUUUUGUGCAAAUUUGGGUAGUUGUUAGGAUCAAAGGUUUGUAUGUUCCCUUACACACUUCAGAGUCCACUUACUUCACACACUUUUCGGGCUCUACACCCGAGCCUCUGCAAGCCUAGGAAGUAGAAGGUGGCUCAAUGACUGUUAUUGAGGGGCUUGAUAUCCCCUUGACAGUUGUUGGAUUACCACCGAGAUUGUUACCAUUAUCAUGAGACAAUCAUAUUGAAAGGAUAUCAUUCCUUCUUGUGGUUGAAUCAUGGGUUGGGUCUUUGUCUAUUUGAUAAAGGCAAUUUGGGGACCAUCUAAAUAUUUAAUAAUAUAGAUCCACCUUGGAAAUUGUUCACUGAAAGUUGAACUUAGUGAUCACCAAAAUUCAAAGCCAUGACCUUAAUGAAUACCUUACCCUAGGUUUUUACCUUGAUAGGUCCCAAGGGAACAUACUUUCCUUCAUUCUUUCAUUCCCAUUCACCUCAUACAUUCAUAAUUAGUUAGGCAUCUAGUUUCUUUAUUUCAUAAAUACAUAAAAAAAAUUAUCAUCCCGCAUCAUGUUGUACCUCAUAAUUUCUAUGCACGCAUAUUUAUAUAUAAAUAGAGGUCAUCAUUUCAUUCAAGUGAAAAUCAUGCAUGCAUAUUAGGACGAUGUACAUGUAGGUUACAUCCAUGUUUGUAUAUCUCUCAUAUCACUUUUAGUUUUAGAAUACACGUGCUUAAUGGUGUUUAACAUCGAGGAUAUUCAAAAUCCUGCUAGCAAUACAUCGAGACCUGGAAAGAACAUAAGAAUUAAAGUGCUAAAAAAUGACAUAGAAUAAAUUAGAUUCGUAGAAAGAUGACCAAGGAAGCAUGAAUGAGUAUUGAGAAAAAAAUAUGAUCAGAUUAUGGAUUUAUUGUCGAUCCCCAUUGAAGUUUUGAUAUUAAGCGCUUUAUCUUAAUUUUGGAAUUCAGACCUAAGAUGUUUUGAGCUACCUACUUUGGACCUUGUACCUGUUAGACAAGUGGCCUCAGAUAUCUUAAGAAGGGGGGGGGGUUGAAUUAAGAUAUUCCAAACUAUUUCCCCUAAUUAAAAAUCUAUUUCACUUUUUACUCAAGUUAUGAAUUCCCUUAAUGACAAUCUUCUUAAAUAUUAAUUCAAAUGAAACAAUUUGAAUAUGAAUAUAAAGCAAUAAUAAAUAAAGGAGAUUAAGGGAAGAGAAAAUGCAAACUCAGUUUUAUACUGGUUCGGCCACACCCUUGUGCCUACGUCCAGUCCCCAAGCAACCCGCUUGAGAGUUCCACUAUCUUGUAAAUUCCUUUUACAAGUUCUAAACACACAAGGACAAUCCUUCCUUUGUGUUUAGAGAUCCUUUACAACAAGAGACUCACAGUCUCUUAAUCCCUUAGAGAAUGAGAAGAAGAAGAAGAACAAAUCUCUCUAGAAAGAGAUGGAUUUUACAAAUUGAGCACUCAAAUAAUUCCUUAAUGAAUUGCAAUUGAAUUGGCCAAGGAAUUCUUAAGAGGAUAAAAUGAAUUUGCUCUUUGAGAGGAUAAACACUUUGUUGUUCUGAAAAUCUCUAAGCAAUUUCGUGUUUAAGUCACAUAUAUAUAGACCAUUGGUGGUCAUGAAUAAAGCCUUUGAAAAGUUGUGACUCUUGAAAUUAUUUUUCUGAAAAUCCUGUCUGGUAAUCGAUUACAGUAAUUGUGUAAUCGAUUACAGCUUUUAAAAUUUGAAUUAAAACGUUUACAAACUGCUGGUAAUCGAUUACCAAAAUUGUGUAAUCGAUUACACAGUCUAAAAUUUCGAAUUCAAAUUUUUGUAGCUGUUAUAAAACGUAUUUGGCCACUGGUAAUCGAUUACAUCCUCUGGUAAUCGAUUACCAGAGAGUAAAACCUUUGAGAAACACUUUUUAAUUUAAAUCACUUGGCCAAACCUUUGCUAAUUCAAUUAGGAAUUCCCUUCCUAAUAUUCUAGUGAUCAUCUUGAUGUUGUGACUUGUAAUCUUGAAGUAUUGUCUUGAAUUUUAAUCUUGAAAAGCCCAUUUGCAUCAAUUGGCCUACCAAUGGGUCAAACUGAUUUUGAAAGUAGAGGAGCAAUCAGAGAGUGGAAUAAAACUUUCCUAGAAAAUUGUUUGUAGACUUUAGCCGAGAAGAAGAGUUAGGAAUUUCUUAAUACGACUCUAGCAUCACUUCUUUAUGGAUUGAUUCUAUUCCCAUUCACUAUAUGCAUGAUCGAUCGUGUAGCCAUGGAUGUAUUCUUUGCUUAUGAAACCCGAGGAGAAAAUCCGGUUCUGGCUAUCUUGGUAGAUACUUUUCUUUCCAUGGAGAUUUGUCAGCAGAGGAAGAGAAAGAUGCUAUGAUGUUGUAAUCGCUUGUUGUUUGGUUGGUUGGUAACUCAUUUAUAUGCAUCCAAUCAUAUAGGUUACUUGUCGAAUCCUUUGUGAAGUUUUCAUCACACCCCUUUGAAGAAACAAUAAGCUAUGGAGUGGAAGAGAUAUUUCUCAAAAUUGGAGGUGGAACAUUUUCAAUGGGCAUGCCCUUGGUAUCAUUCCCAAGAUAUGGUCUUUAGUUGUGGCAAUUUUCCUAAUGUGUCAUUAAUGAGGCCAAGAGGAUGCGUAGCCUACACCCCGACAGUUGCUUUUAGGCAACUCAAAUGGACUCAAGGUGUGCCAAAUGUUGAAGAGUUGAGAGGUUUGAUUUUUCAAUAUGCUUCAGGUGAUAGUCAUAAGCAACAGGAAGAAGUCAAAAUGGCUUAGCAAAAUGUUAGAAAGAACAGGGGGAAAGAGCUUAGAAAACCUCAUGUGACUGCCUCAUAAGAGUAUAAGGAAUAGAGGAAAGUCAGAGUAGUCCCUAUUUGCAAAGAAAUCUCACAUGAAGAGAGCCUACCUCAAGAAUCUGGUCAAACUUUGGCUUCUUUUUAUUCUCAAUUGGAAAUUCUAAGGGCUCAGAUAAGGUUGAUAGAGGAAAAAGAAGAAAGUGCGAAGACAAAAAUAGAAAUUCUUAAUUGGUAGUGUCAAAAAAAGAUAGAGAGAUAGGGAACUUAAAAGAUGAGUGUGCUGAUGCCCAUGAAAGCUCGACCUGUGCCAAGAAAGCAAGGAAGAAUGCUCCGUCUAUGAUGAUGGAAUUGCAAGAUAAAGUUAAAGCAAUGGAAAGAGAGAUGGCCAAAAUUAAAAAAGAAAAAGAAGACCCGAAGAUAAAAAUUGUAUUCAAGAGAAAAGAUUGGAGCGCCUAAGCAAAGAGUUAGUUGAGAAAGGCCUUGAUAUGGAGAAAGGUUAGGGAUUAGUUGAAGAAUAUCUUAACUCCCUCACGCAAUCAAAUCUAAAAGAGAAAUGCCUUUCAAAAACAAUUGUUGAGUUGACAUGUGAGCGAGACAAGUUGAGCUCUAACAUCCUAGGAUUACAUUUGGUUGUCGAGCAUCACCAUGAAAAGAAGAAGAAGUGGAUGAAAACUUGUGAAGAUAUGACUCAUUGUGUUCAUCAUCAUGUCACAAACUUAGCAGCACAAUUCUAAGUGGUCGAUGAGGAGAUCAACUCAAAUCCAAGAAUAAAGCUUCCUUUGAGGGUUUUUCAGUUAUUGAAGUAUUGCCAAAAUCUAAAUAGAAGAUUCAUGUAGAAUGGGAUGCAAUUUCAUGCACUCCAUUUCAAAAAGAGAUUGUAUUUCAAUAUUUGGGUUAAUAAAAUGAGCUUGGAUUUUGUGCUUUCGUUCUAGACAUUAUUCAUUGAGGAGAGAAUUUCCCCUUGGGUAAUUGUCAACCACAUUUUUAACUUGAGAUUUUUAGUCCUUGAUUGGAAAUGUUGGCACACCUCAUAUUGCUAGCAUAUUAGACCUCAUCUAUUAAGGAGGAAAUACUCCCUUGGAAUGAGUGUCAGCCACUUGGCAACCUAAGAGGGAAUAUACCUCUAGUGCCAAAAUGUGGGAAUCUCCUUCAAAAUUGAACACUAGGUUUUUCCUGUCUUCUUGUAUCUUGUUUCUUUUGCUUAAAGUAUUUUCUGCACAGAAACGAUAAAAUCAAGAAAGAAAGUGUAUCCUCGACACCCCUAUAGAAUGCGGUCCUAAGCAAAGAUUAUGGAUGAGAUGGAAGAGCAAGAGCACCAUGAGGAGUUGAGAAAUGGUGUCAACUAGAUGAAAGAAAAAAUGGCACAAAUCUAGAGGCGCUACAUGACUUAGAAAAGAAAAGCUCAAAGGGAAUCCCUUCUGGGCCUUUGACACGCAUCUUAAUAAACUUGUGCAACAUGUUGAUUCUCCAGAUGUCCAAUGGCCACCAUAUGGCCUUCCACCAGGCUACACACCUCGAACAAUAGGGGAUUUUUUGGAGAAUGAUCCAACUUUGACUCAAUCCCAAAAUGCAUAACCAUAGAGUUUGAUUAAGAACCCUAUUGCAAGCACUUCUCAUAUCCAAAAUACAAACUUUGUUGGUCAAGAAACUUCUUUGAAUCUUCAAGUCGUAGGAGGAUCUCAACCAACACUUUCAAGUGAGCAGGUCCAAUCUAGAGAAAAGUUGCAAAUGUUGGAGGAAAGGCUUAAGGUCAUAGAAGGUAGCAACUAUGACAUUAGGGAGGUUGUUGAUUUGUGUUUAGUACCCGAUGUAAUCAUCGCUCCAAAAUUUAAGGUGUCGAAAUUUCCUAUGUGUAGUGGAAUAAGUUGCCCAAAAGGACAUCUGACAAUGUACUAUAGAAAGAUGGUAGCACAUACUCGUAAUGAAAAGUUACUCAUUCAUUGCUUCCAAGAUAGCUUAACUAGGGUAACUCUCAAUUGAUACAUGCAUUUGGAGCGAGCAUAUAUUCAUUCUUAGAAAGAUCUAGCAGAUUCUUUCCUUAAGCAAUACAAAUAUAGCAUUGAUAUGACUCCAGAAAGGUUCGACUUGUAGAUGAUGUCAAAGAAGGACGGUGAGACCUUCAAAGAAUAUGCACAAAGAUGACGGGAAGUGGCAGCUCAAGUAAAACCUUUCUUGUCUGAGAAGGAAACAAUGAUGCUUUUUAUUGAUACUUUGUGAGCAUAAUUUUAUGACAAGAUGAUUGGAAGUAUUUCUUCUAACUUCUCAAAUAUAGUGGUUAUCGGAGAAAGAAUGGAGAAUGACUUGAAGAGUGGAAAUAUCACCCUUGAUUCUUCUAGAACAGUUGGCACCAAGAAACCCUCAAAUUGGUAAAAAAAAAAAAAAAGGAGAUGCACACAUGGUAACUUUCUAAUCCCCUGGGAUGUCUAGCUACAAACCCCCUCAAACAUUUCAUACCUCUGUUAUGGCUUAUGCCCACAUCACAACCAUUUCCCAAACCCUUUAUCCUCAACCUUUCCACCCAACUUCGCCCACUAUGCAUGCCACAAAAUCAUGUCAACCUAACUUGUCAUGGAACCAAAAUUCUAGUCAAACUAAGCCACAAAACACCCAAAACUAGAAACAAGUUGAGUUCGAUCCCAUUCCCAUGUCUUACACUGAGUUAUUGCCUCACUUAAUUCAAAAUGGAAUGGUAUUACCUAUCUCAAUGAAUCCCGUGGGGUCACCAUAUCCUAGGGGAUACGAUGCUAAUGCAAAGUGUGAUUAUCAUGUAGGGGCUAUUGGUCAUUCCACGGAAAGUUAUAGAGCUUUGAAGAUUAAGUUGUAGAGGUUGAUUAAGGCAGGAUGGUUGAAUUUCAACCUAAUGUUGGGAAUAAUCCUUUACUAGGCCAUGGAGGAUGGUUUGUCAAUGCUAUUGAAUUUGUGGAACAAACCAUGAAGUUGAGGGUAAAGGAUGUGAAAACCCCAAUGAAAACUAUUUUUGAAGAAAUGCACAAAGUUGGUAUGAUCUAGGGAAGUUCAAAUGGAGAUGUUGGGUGUGGAUUACACCCUAUUGCAGGUCAUGCAAUUGGAGAAUCUGUUGAUUUUAAGCAAAUCCUGCAAGACUUGAUGUAUAAGAAAUUGGUGCAAGUAGGAUAUUGUGAAAGCAAUGUAUCGAUGAUUGACACAUCACCAGUGUUUCUAAGCCCUUAGUUAUCCAUUAUACUAAGGGUGUCAACUCCCCGACUCUUAGCGCACCCGGUCUAUCACCAUACAAGUAUCGAAGGCUUUCCUAUAUAAAGACAAAAAGGAAGUGCCAUGGAAGUAUGGUGCAAAAGUCUAUGUGGAUGAAUAUGAUGGAAAAUAAACUCCUAAUGUUACAAAUUUUGUAGGAGUCGGUAGCAUGACUCAAAGUGGUCGAAUAUACACUCCAGGAAAAUUAAUGGUCGAACAAAAAAGGGAUGAGGAGAAAGGAAAAGAAAGGGUUAAUCCUGAAGUGGUUUGGAAGUAUGGUGCAGAAGUUUAUGUGGAUGGAUAUGAUGGAAAAUAAACUCCUAAUGUUACAAAUAUUGCAGGAGUUUGUAGCAUGACUCAAAAUGGUCGAAUAUACACUCUAGAUAAAUUAAUGGUCGAACAAAAGAAGGAUAAUAAGGAGAAAGGAAAAGAAAAGGUUGAUCCCAAAGAAGCAAGAGGAAAUAAGAAAAGAGGUUUCUGAUGAAGAAGCUAAUGAAUUCCUAAAGUUCAUUAGACAAAGUGAAUAUGCAGUGAUAGACCAACAGAAUCGCACUCCUGCCAAGAUAUCAUUGUUGUCACUUAUACUAAAUUCAGAACUUCACAGGAAGAUGUUGUUCAAGGUAUUGAAUAAGGCUCAUGUUAUUCAUUAUAUAUCUAAAGAGAAAUUCGAAGGGAUUGUUGGAAACAUCACUACUAGUAAUCACCUAACAUUUACUAAUGAUGAGAUGCAUGUGGAAGGAGCAGGGCAUAAUAAGGCCUUGCACAUAUCAGUGAAAUGUAGAGAUCAUAUCUGGGAAAAGUGCUAGUUGAUAAUGGUUCUUCUUUGAAUGUGGUGUCGAGGACGACACUUGCCAAGUUACCAUAUGAUGAAUCCUACAUAAGGCUAAGUGCUAUGGUGGUUAGGGCUUUUGAUGGGUCACAUAGAUAAGUAAUUGGUGAAAUACGCCUACCUAUCCAAAUCGAUCCUAUUACCUUUGAGGUAGUAUUUCAAGUAAUGGACAUUGUACCAACUUAUAGCUGCCUUCUUGGAAGACCAUGGAUUCAUUAUGCAAGGGUUGUGCCUUCUACCCUUCACCAAAAGGUCAAAUUUGUUGUUGAUGAAAAAUUGGUAAUUAUUUUUGCUGAAAAGGAUCUGCUGGUUAGCAAACCCUGAUCCAUUCCUUAUAUAGAAGCUGUUGAGGAGGCCUUUGUAAUGCCCUGAAAUUUCUCUAAUUGAAAAAUGAUGUUUAAUGCAUUUCUUAUGUUAUUUGACUAUUUGAUUGAUUUGGAUGAGUUGAGGUGUUGUGUGAAUUAACUAUGUGUGAUUGCUUCAUGUGGAUGUUGAGUUAUGUGGAGUUUUACUGACCUAGGUUGAAAUUGUGAGAUUUCAAGUUUUACCCAAACCUAUUCUAGUAAAACUGUGAUCCUGGACUUAUUAAUCGUUAGAUCUUUCUCAAAUUUGUACAGUAGGUUCAAAACCUAGGUCUUCAUGCUUUGACCGUUGGGAUUUGGAAAAUAACCCUUCUAGACAUCUCGCUUAGCGAGACAAGCGCGCUAAGCACAAUUCCAACCUGAGAGAAAUUACACUCAACGUGAAAUGUUGUGCUCAACGUAAAUCCCAACCUAAGAGGAAUUCUGCUCAGCAUGAAAUUUCACAGUCAACGCAAAUUCCAACCCAAGAGGAGUUGCGCUCAAUGCAAAAUGUUGCACUCAGUGCAAAUUCAAACCUGAGACGAAUUGGACAUAACGUGAAUUGUCGUGCUCAACGUCAAAAGUGGAUUUUUGCUUAGCAAGAUCUAUAGAUUAUAAAUACAUCAAAUAGUGUAAAAUUAUGCAUUUUGAGCUCUCUCUCCCUUCAACGUCAGCCCAAAAACCGUAACUCCUUCUCCUCCACCACCCACGACAACUAGUGGCCACCACGAGCAGCCGUUGCUUGCCACCGGACCACCACACAGAGAGGAAAGCUUUAUUCAGAGCGAAAUCCUCAGAAUCCACUUUAAGGAUUUGGUGGAGAACUCUCAAUUCUUUCUUUCAUAGUUUCGCUAAGGUAAUGUUGACUUCUAUGUCUGUCUCUUAGUUUGAGUUUUUCUUAGUGUCUAAGCUUUUCUUAGUGUCCCUUGUUGAUGUUAAAAAUGAGACAUUUUAAAAGUUACAUUUUUAUAAAAUUGAUGUUAUUUUUGUGACCUUCGUUGAACCCAAUUACAUUGGCGUGAUCGAAAUUUCAAAGAGGGAAGAUAAGUCAGGGUAGACGCCAUAAGGAUUACCUUGAUAAGUCUGAGUUUGGUUCAACAAGGAACCCGGAGAGAAGUUCUCACCAAAUUUUAUCAAAUGCCAAAAGUUCCUCUAUUGAAAACGAAAUCCAUACAUAUAGAGUAUCUGAAUGAAAACAAAAUAAACAAGGGCCUUUAAAACAGUUUGGGCCAAAAUUACAACGAAAAAAUUAAAAAAAAAAUAUAUUUAGCAUGGGCCUUCCAAUUAAUCUGGGCCUUCAACAACAAUUAAUAUUCUUAGUAGUGCCUCUGCCUCUAGGCCUUCAUCCUUCUCCACUUGGGCCUUGUUAAGUGUGUCUGCUACCAUUUGUUGGAGGAUAUCCACUGACUAUUUUGUCCUACUUUUGGUCAUAGGUCCCGGUAUUUGGGCAGUUUUUGGAUUCUCAUCAUUCCCUCCUUCUUGGAAAGCAUUUACCCUCAAAUGUUCAGAACCAUCACCUGGCUCAUGUACCACUUUCUUCUUGUUCUUGUUGGCUUGCUUGGCAUAGCUUUCAUUCUUCUUUGCAAUUUGUGCCUUCACUUGGUCAUGCAAUCUUUUCACAUACUCAACUUUAGCUUGUGCAUCCUUAUAUUGAGUCUCUUGGGGAUUGCUUUUGUAAGUUGGCCUGUUAGGCAAUGAAGCUCCUGGAAGGAGGUCAACUUGAUGUUCUAUGCCUCUUGAAGGUGGUAGUCCAUGAGGAAUCUCCUUGGGAAAGACAUCUUUAAAUUCCUGCAAUAAGGGUUCAACACUAGGAGAAACAUAAAUAGUUAACUCAUUAGAAUUUUCAGUAGAAAUUUUACUGUCUUUGGAAUAUAAUAGAUAUAGUGGCUCACGAGCAAGUAACACUUUCCUCACUUCACUUGCCUUUGCUAAACAAUUAAAUUUUCUCUCAUGCGUAUCACUCUUUCUCUCGUGUGUAUCACUCUUUCUCUCACAUGUAUCACUCUUCUUUUCAUAUUCCUCUUUGGUGCCUCACUCUUUUCUUCUUGUUCUCUCUUUUCUCUCAUUCUAAUUUGAUUAUCACACACUUCUCUAGGGGAUAGAGGUUUAAGAAUAAUCUUCCGAUCAUUGUGCUAGAAAGAAAUCUUGUUGGUGAAGCCAUCAUGCACUGCUUUGGUGUCAUACUGACAUGGUCUUCCCAACAGUAUAUGAAUCGCCUCCAUUGGAACCACAUCACACAGCACCCUAUCAUUGUAUCUUCCAAUGGUGAGACACACCUCAACCUGCUGAGUUACUGUUACCUCUUCAUCUUCACUAAGCCAUUGAAGUUUGUAUGGCCUAGGAUGGGAUUUAGUAUCCAAAUUCAGUUUGGACACUAACCUGGAACUUGCAACAUUGGUACAACUUCCUCCAUCAACAAUUAAAGAGCAAAGCUUACCAUUAAUCGUACAUCUAGUAUGGAAAAUAUUUUCUCUUUGGGUGUUGUCUUGUGGCUGCAUUUGACUUCCCAAGAGCCUUCUCACCAUUAGCAUAUCACCCUGCAUAGCUUCCUCCUCAAGCUCUUCUUCCACUUCUUCUUCUUCACUGAUUUCAGAUUCACUGGUGAUUGCUCCAUCUGCCUUCAUGAUCAUGGUCCUCUUGGUUGGACACUCCGAAGCAAUAUGUCAUCUGCCUAAGCAUUUUAUGUUUCGGGUAUCAGUGUUGGAUGAUGAGGUAGAAUUAUGCUUGGUUUCAACAUUGGAAAUUGCUGACUUUCCAUGGGGAUUGCACGAGUUACCUCCCUCCUUCUUGGAUAUGUUGGUCCAGUUCUAGUUGAAAUUGUUAGAUGAGUUCCUUGUUGCUGCAAUUUUCCUCUUCAGCUGUUGUUCAACCCGAACUGUCUUAUGCAGUAAGUCAUCUAAUGCCACGUACUCCUGUAAUUCAACAACAUCUCUAAUGUCAAGAUUUAGGCCACUCAAAAAAUGAGCCAUUGUGUCUGCAGUGUCCUCUUCAAUGUUGGCCCUCACUAGUGUCAUCUCCAUCUCCUUAUAGUACUCCUCCAUAGUCAAAUUUCCCUGGGAAAGCCUCUGGAGUUUCUGUUGCAUGGCUCUAUUGUAGCUAGUUCGAACAUACCUUUUUCGCAUAACCCUUCUCAUCUCAGUCCAUGUAUCUAUCUCCCACCCCUCCUCUCUCAUCAUCUCUCUUUGAUUUUUAUUCCACCAAACAAGGGCAUAGUGGGAGAAUUCAACUGUUGCUAACUUCACCUUCUGCUCUUCAGUAUAAUCAUUGCAGGAGAAUACAUGCUUAAUCUUCAUCUCCCAGUCAAGGUAGGCGUCUGGGUCACUCCUGCCUUUGAAAGGGGGUACGUUGAGUUUUACUCCCACAAUUCUAUUCUGCCCCUCCAUUUGGUUCGGUCCAUCAUUGACCCUUUUGUUCCCACCAUAAGGUCUCCCAACAUUCUGAUUCAUUUGGCGCUCUAGUCCUUCUAUUUGUCCAUAGAGCUCUUCAUUGUUACGAUUCAGCAAAUGUUGCAUUUGUGUAGUCAUCACGUCCAGUAACAAUUGCUGAGAGCCGUCGAGUUGAUGAUAUACACCACCACCGUCACCAGUUUCUGCCAUGAUUAAGGAACAAACAAUUCUACAAUAAUUUACACAGAUUACAGGACCUCACCACACUCUACUCAUGUGUUUCUCUCUUUCACGGUAGUUCACUCGUGUUUGAUGCUCUCAAUAUAGGCUUUUCUAUGAUGUUUCUUUUUUCACUCUUGCCAUUUACCACUCCCUCCCUCUUAAGUUCCUGGAUGAAUCAAAUUGGACACACAAAGGUAAUAGAAUAGGAAAGAAAACUUAAUUAUAGAAUGGCAAAUUGGAUACUAACAAAUUGGAUAACAAACUAACAGAUUGGAUGACAAACUUGGAUAACAAAUUAGGAUAACAAACUAACAGAUUGGAUAACAAACUAGGAUAACAAACUAACAGAUUCGAUAACAAAUUAGGAUAACAAACUAACAGAUUGAAAAACAAACUAGGAUAACAAAAUAACAUAUUGGAUAACAGAUUUUUUGCCAAAACAAAACGCUUCUAACUACCUCAAAUUCGUGUUCAAAGAUUCAAACACCCACUUUUUUUUAUUUUUCUACAACCUUUUUUUUUUUGCUUUCCUUUUCAAAAUUCGUCUAGGAUAAUAGACUAUUUUUCACUCAAUUAAUUCCACUGGUCCAAAUUCAAUAGGCAAUUGGGCAAUUCGUUCAAUAGUCAAACAAACAAAUAUAAGAAAUUCAAUGGCCUACUAAACCCUAAACCCCCAAAAUUCUUCCAGUAAGCCAAAUUGUCCCCAAACAGAAUUUGAAACAAAAUUCAAACAGAUUUUUUUUGACACAGAAUCUGAAAGAAACAAGAACAAGAGCAAGAACGAAAACAAGAACACAAACAAGAAUGCAAACAAGAACGCAACAAGGGCACAAACAAAAAUGCAAACAAGAAUGAAACAAGAUGCAAACACAAAACUGAGACACAAAUGACAAAGGAAAAAAAUAAAAAUUGGAUAGGAUAGAACCUGUAACAAGAGCCGAAGCUCUGAUACCAGAUGAUGUGAUCCUUACUAGGAGCAUAUCGCUUGAUACAUGUCACAGAGUUUGGAUGACGCCACUUCCAAAGAGGGAAGAUAAGUCAGGGUAGACACCACAAGGAUUACCUUGAUAAGUCUGAGAUUGGUUCAACAAGGAACCUAGAGAGAAGCUCUCACCAAAUUUUAUCAAAUGCCAAAAGUUCCUCUAUAGAAAACGAAAUCCAUACAUAUAGAGUAUCUGAAUGAAAAGAUAGAAAUAGACAUGGGCCUUUAAAAUAGUUUAGGUGAAAAUUACCAUGAAAAAAUUAUAAAUGAAUAAAAAAAAACAUAUUUGGCAUGGGCCUUCCAAUUAGUUUGGAUCUUCAGCAACAAUUAAUAUUCUUAGUAGUGCCUCUGUCUCUGGGUCUUCAUCCUUCUCCACUUGAGCCUUGUUAAGUGUGUCUGCUACCAUUUGUUGGAGGGUAUCCACUGACUGUUUGAUCCUACUCUUGGUCAUAUGUCCCUGUAUUUGGGUAGUUUUCGGAUUCUCAUCACUAGUUUUCCUAAGUGAGAGUGUCACAUGGACACACUUAGGCUAUUUCUUGAUGAAUGGUACCACAUUGCAUUUGAGGGUUGAGGUCAGUCAGGUGCAUGUAUUAUACUGAGCAUGAUUAUUUGGAAAUGUGGAAAGUUCAUGACUACUUGUUGAAUGUAUGUUGGACUAAUGGACAUUUGUGUAUGAUUAUGACAUUUGUUAAUGUUUUCUUAAUAAUCAUGAUCAUUUGAUUUUCGUGAUGAUUCCUUUUAUAAUAAACUCACCCUUUCAAUUUUUGUACCGUGCGGUUGGUACCUGUGAUGAUUGCGAACCUUCGUUCAUGGGAGCAGAUGAACAACAAUAGAUUACAUGGAGUGAGAUUCUUUUGUUGGAGCCAUCAAGCCGACGUGUUGACGUUGAGAUUAUUUUGGGAGAGAGUUGUAUUUUGUUAGUCAAUUCCUCCGUACAUGGUUCUAUAGUAUUUUGAAUUGAGGAUGUAUAUAACAUAUUUAAUUAUAUGUAUGAACUAAUUUACCUUCCAUGAUGUGAAUGACGUGUACUAAGUUAAUAUAUAUAUAUAUAUAUAUAUAUAUAUAUAUAUAUAUAUAUAUAUAUAUAUAUUCAUUUAAGUAUUUGUGCAUUGUUUGGUGAACGUAUAUCGCGAAAAAUUUACUCUCGUUUUUCAUAAGCAAAUUAACAAAGUUUUCAUUUAAAAAUUAGAAUUUACACAGUUUAGGGUAGCGAUAUCGUAGCGACGAGGUGGGUUGUUACAACCAUCGAGACCUCAUUUCAGGGACUUGAGAUCGCCAAUGCCACUUAUGUGAAGGAGGGGAAAACCAUCUCAAAAUUCCAACCAUCAAGUCCAUCCAUGAUGGUGGCAAAAGUUAAGCUUGAGAAUGGGUAUCACUAUGAGAGUGGAUUAGGAAGAAAUGCACAAGGCUUAGGCCGACUGCCUGACUUGAUUGAAAAUAAAGACUGCUUUUGUUUGGGCUAUAAACCUUCAAAGAAGGACAAGAGGAGGAUUGCACAUGAGAAAAAAGACAAGAGGAUCAGCACGUUAAUAAGGUUCAUGCUUGCUCGCCAAAUGUUGACCUUAACAAUUAGGAGAUUAUUGAGCUUCCUGUGAUUUUCAAUUAAAAUUAAAAUUUGAAAAUAAUGCACUUAAAAGUGAUAAUGCUAGUAUCGCACCACAUAGUUUUGAGUAUCUUGAGAAUCAGGUGGAUGAGGAAAUUGAGGAUGAUUUGGAACCUUCCCUUGAACUAUUGAGAUUGGUGGAACAAGAGGCUAAAGAGAUCCGAUCCCAUGAAGAAAUGACUGAGGUGAUUAAUUUGGGGAUUGAAGAAGAGAAAAAAGAGGUUAAAAUUGACAAACUUAUGAAAGGGAGUAAGCGCCACAAAUUGAUAAAGCUCUUACAAGAAUAUAGAGAUGUUUUUUUCUUGGUCAUAUCAAGAUAUGCCAGGUCUUGAUGCUAGGAUAAUGGAGCAUAAGUUGCCAUUAAAGUCAGAAUGUCCUCCGGUUAAACAAAAGUUAAGGUGGAUGAAACCUGAACUAUCUUUGAAAAUUAGAGAGGAGGUUAAAAAGUAGUUGGAUGCAGGCUUUCUUGUCGUUGCCAAAUACCCAUAAUGGGUUGCUAACAUAGUGCAUGUUCCAAAGAAUGAUGGAAAAAGUACGAAUGUAUGUUGAUUACCGAGAUCUAAAUAGAGCCAAUCUAAAGGAUUAUUUCCCAUUACCCCAUAUUGACUUGUUGGUGGAUAACAUAACCAAAUAUACAUUCUUUUCUUUCAUGGAUGGCUAUUCAGGUUAUAAUCAAAUCAAGACGAUAGAAGAAAAUAGGGAGAAAACCACAUUCAUUACACCAUGAGGCACCUUUUGCUACAAGGUCAUGUCAUUCUGGCUAAAGAAUGUUGGGGCAACAUACCAAAGAGUGAUGAUGAUCUUAUUCCAUGACAUGAUGCAUGAAGAGAUUGAAGUUUAUGUAGAUGGCAUGGUUGCCAAAUCGAAAAAUGAAGAAGAUCAUGUAAUUCACAUGCAGAAGUUGUUUGAGCGGUUAAGUUGAGACUUAAUCCUGCCAAGUGCACUUUUGGCGUGAAGUCAGGAAAGUUGUUAGAGUUUGUAGUCAGCCAAAGAGGAAUUGAAGUGGAUCCUCACAAGGUUCACGCAAUUCUUGACAUGCCACCUUCUUGCAGCAUAAAGGAAGUUUAAGGUUUCUUAGGGAGGUUGAAUUAUAUUGCUCAGUUUAUAUCACAGUUAACAACUACGUUCGAACCUAUCUUCAAGCUGUUAUGCAAAAAUCAACCAUUGGAAUGGAACACUGAUUGUCAGGAAGCCUUUGAGAAAAUAAAACAAUAUUUGCAAAAUCCCCCAAUUUUGGUUCCACUGGUCCCUAAAAGGCCUCUGAUUAUGUAUCUAACAGUGUUGGAUGGGUCUAUGGAUUGUGUUUUAGGACAACAUGAUGAGUUUGGAAGUAAAGAGUGUGUCAUUUACUACUUGAACAAGAAGUUUAUUGGUUGAGUCCAGAUAUUCGUUGUUAGAGCAAACUUGUUAUGCUUUAGCGUGGGUAGCUCAUUGCUUAAGGAAAUACAUGCUAAGCCAUAUGACUUGGUUGGUGUCUAAAAUGGACCCAAUCAAGUAUAUUUUUUAAAAGCCUGCUCUUACAGGGAGAAUUGCUAGAUGGAAAGUUCUCUUAUUAGAGUAUGAGAUUGUGUAUGUGACUCAAAAGGCAGUUAAAGGUAGUUCUCUGGCAGAUUAUUUGGCGCAUCAACCCGUGAAUGAUAGUCAAUGCAGUGUGAAUUCCCCGACGAAGACAUUAUGGUGGUGCUUCAGGAGGAAGAAACACCAAAAGAAGGAAAAUGGAUCAUGUUGUUUGAUGGAGCAUCCAACGUACUAGGGCACGAGAUUGGAGCUAUUUUAAUUUCCCCAGAAAAACAAUACAUCCCAAUCAUAACAAGCUUGUGCUUUGAAUAUACAAGUAAUGUGGCAAAGUAUGAAGUAUGUACUUUGGGGCUUCAGGCAACCGUAGAAUCAAAAGUUAAAAAACUUAAAGUCUAUGGUGACUCGACCUUGGUCAUUAACCAAUUGAAUGGUGAAUGGGAAACUCAAGAUGCCAAGCUAAUUCCUUAUCAGACUUACAUUAAGGAAUUGAUGAAGCAAUUUGAGGAAAUUUCUUUUGAUCAUAUCAUUCAGGAAAAUAAUCAGUUGGUGGAUGCAUUAGCCACCUUGUCCUUUAUGUUUGCAUUGAGCGAGGAUGAAGACAUGCCACACACAAAGAUCCAAUGUUGUGGAAAACCAGCAUAUUGUCAUUUGGUAGAGGAAGAGUUAGAUGGAAAACCGUGGUACUAUGACAUCAAGAAAUAUAUCAAAAGUCGAGAAUAUUCACCAAGUGAUUUAGAGAAUGAUAAGAGAACCUUGAGAAGGUUAUUAAUGAAUUUCUUUUUGAAUUGAGAUGUGUUGUAUAAGAGAAAUCAUGAUAUGGUGUUACUCAGAUGUAUAGAUAUAGUUGAAGUGCAAAGGAAUAUCAGAGAAGUUCACAAAGGCUCCUUUGGUACCCACUCAAGUGGGCAAGCCAUGGCAAGAAAGAUCUUGAGAGCUAGUUAUUAUCGGUUGACAAUGAAGGCUAAUUGUUUUUGUUAUUUGAGGAAGUUUCAUAAGUCUCAGAUGUAUGCAGACAAUAUCAAUGUUCCACGUACUUCCUAAAAUGUUCUGGCUUCCCCUUGGCCAUUGUCGAUGUGGGGAAUGGACAUCAUUGGUCCCAUCGAACCAAAAACAUCAAAUGAACAUCGCUUCAUCCUAGUUGCGAUUGACUACUUCACUAAGUGGGUGGAAGCCACUUCAUAUGCUCAUGUAACACAAAAUAUGAUAGGGAAGAUUAUCAAAAGGGAGUUGAUUUGUCGUUAUGGCGUGCCAAGCAAGCUGAUAACUGAUAAUGCCACCAACCUGAACAACAAGAUGAUGACAAAAUUACGUGUUGAUUUCAAAAUCCAACAUUAUAAUUCUUGUCCAUACUGCCCAAAGAUGAAUGGGGUAGUUGAGGUGGCAAACAACAACCUCAAGAAGAUAAUCUAGAAGAUUGUGGUGACAUACAAAGAUUGACAUGAGAUGUAGCAUUUGCUUUACAUGGAUAUAGUACCUCAGUUUGCACUUUAACAAGUGCAACUCCAUUUUCCUUAGUAUACAGGAUGCAAACAGACUUACCCAUUAAAGUUAAAAUCCCUUCUUUAAGAGUGUUGAUGGAAGUAGAGUCAAAAGAAGCAGAGUAGGUCCAAAGUCAUUUUGAGCAAUUAAAUCUCAUUGAGGAGAAAAGGUUGAAUGCAAUUUUUCCGUGGCUAGUUAUACCAAAAGAGAUUAAAGAAAUUUGAGAGGAAGGUACAUCCCAGGGAAUUUCAAGUGGGAGAUUUAGUUUUGAAGAAGAUUUUUCCAAACAAAAAAAAAAAAAGACAGGCUUGGCAAAUGGACACAUUUUAUAAGGGACCCUAUGUGGUCAAGAAAACAUUCUCAAGAGGAGCUUUGAUCCUCAUAAACAUUGAUGGUAAAGAGCUCUCAUAUCUAGUGAAUUCUAAUGUAGUGAAGAAGUUUUGUGCUUGAGAAAAAAGCUCGCUAGAUUGAAACACCGAAAGGGCGAUCUACGCAAAAGUUAAAGCUUAAAAAAACUAAGUUGAAAACCCGAGAAGGCGAUCUAGGCAAAGUUAGAGUAACCAGUCAAGUCGAAAGGAGCAUCUUGAAAAGGAAGGCAUGGAGUCAGAAACUGAGGCAAAUGUGUGUUAAAAAUCAUUUUUCUUUGAAGUCUCAUGUGAUACUAGUCUAUUGUCGAGCAGUCAAAUGUGUGUCACUCCAAUAGCAAAGUCAUCCACUUAUGUUGCCAUUCUCUGAAUUUGUUGUACAUAUCAUUUUUUUUCUUUUCUUUAUUGUAUUAUCCUUGUAACUGUUCCACCUUAUCUUGAAUAAAAUUGUUUGUUUCCCUUUAUUAGUUUGUAUUUUUAUAAGAAUAUAUUGAAAGGAAAUACAUGUCAAACAUUUAAAUAAAAAAGCAUUACAAAUACUUUGAUAAGCUUUGGAAAGUCAUGGUAUGCUCAAUGAGUUCUCAAAGCGCAUCCAGCAAGGUGACGUUGCAUUUACUCACAAAAGCUUGUAGCAACAUACUGUUAACCCCAUGUCUCACUUAAGACAAAAAUGCCAAGUUAAAGUUCUCUCAUCCAUGAAUCUUGGGACGUGUGACACUAUCAUAUGGAAUAAGGAUCAUAAAUCUUUUUAAGAAACUGAAGCAAAAGAGACAAGUUUGGUCCAAUAGAUUUUAAUGUCCCAUACGAUUUUACAGCAUCAAAUUAAUUUGUCGUGUUCUCAUGUCAUCAUGCAUCAUAUCAUUGCAUUGCAUUAAGUCCCCUAUAAAUUUUCUUGGCCUAUGAGAGGGUUUUCUAACAUAGAGCGUGAAGUUAUUAAGCCCAGUACCUACUUGGUACAUUUUACUUUUAUGUUAUUUUAAGCCUGGAACCAACACCAGCAUCCAACGCUUAAGUUGGGAAACAACAUCCCGAACACCUCACUGGCACCUGCAUUCACAGCCUGGAUACCUCACCGGCAACCAUGUUCAUAGUCCGAAUACAUCACCGGUACUCAUCAUCAUAGCCUGAUAGUCAACAUCAAAGCCCGAAAUCAGCACCGACACCUGCAUUCUAAGCCCAGAUAUCAGAAUCAACACCGAUUAUAAGCCCGGAUAUCUCAGCGGCCCUCAGCCUCGUAGCCUAGAUACCUCACCGGCACUCAACGUCACAACCAGGAUACAUAAUCGACAAUCAGUAUCAAAGCCCGAAACUUCACCGACGUCUGCAUCCUGAGCCUAGAUACCUCACCAGCACUCAAUGUCACAGCCUGGAUACAUCAUCGACAAUCAGUAUCAAAGCCCGAAACUUCACAGGCAUCUGCAUCCUAAGCCCGGAUACCUCACUGGCAAUCUACAUCACAGCCUAGAUACAUCAUUGACACUCAACAUAACAACUCGGAUACGUCACCGACACUCAUCAUCAUAGCCUGGUACCUCACCAGCCAUUAGCAUUAAAGCUCUGAACCAGCACUGGCACUUGCAUCCUCAGUCCAGAAGCUCCUAGAUAAAAUUGAUUCACUUAUUUACUCAUUUCUUACCAUAAUAAUCUUAAUAAAUCAUUAUCUAGAUUAUUUGAUGAAAAAUUAGUAAAGAGGGACAACUGUGAAUACCCAAUUUUAUUCCGGUGUAAUUUUAUACGAAAAAAAAAUAGAACAAGAAAAUAUGGCAGUUAAGGAGUAGACUUGGUCAAAUAAAAGACCGACUGAUGAAGGAAAACAGUUAUCAACAAUAAAACAUUUGAUUUUCUGUAUAAGAUAUGGAAGACUCGGUCAGCCCAAACAAUUACAAAACAACAAUCAUGUACUGGCAGUAGAGCAAGGAAGUUACAAAAAAGGAAAUAUAAAAGAAAAUAUUGGAAGAAUUUGAGGCGAGAUAUAUGGAAAGUUAUGUUGCUAACAACACCAAGUAGAGAUAAGUUGGUUAUAAGGAAGCUAAUCAGCUUUGGCUAUAAAAAGGAAUUACCUGCAGUGUAUUUUUACGGAAAAAAGAAGAGCAGCGCAUAGAGAGAAAAACGAAAAGAGAAGAAAAAAAAACUAGCAGAAAAGUCAUAGAAGAAAGAAACGAUAAAGGAAGAGUACUAGUUUUUUUCCUCACUUAUGCACCUGCUGCAGCAUCGUUUAAGUGGGUUCAUAUUUCAACCAUUAUUCAAAGGUUAUCUUUCUUCCAUUUUUCUUAUAGAUGUAAGUUAUUUCUCUGAAUGAACCUUUCUGGUGGGAAUUCAUUGUAUUUCUUUUUUUUAUUAUUUUGUUAAUCGAUAAAGGAUGUCUGUAUGUGCAUGUGGAUAUUUCUUAGUAUAUGAUUAGAAUAUGAAAUCAUAAUAAAAUGGAUAGUGGCAUUGGCUUUUAAUUGGUAAAAAGAAAAAACCAAUAAUAAGAAUUGACAUGUCCCCAUGCGUAUCCAUGUGUGUCGGGUAUUGUUUUCUUUUGCAAGCAAAAUAUGUACAUCAUGGGCAAGGUUUAGUUUUAGUUAUACUGUAUAAUAGAAAAAGUGGUACUGGAUUGUGUAGGGACGGUGAGCAUGUUUCCCUUCUUAUUUUUAUUUUCUUUCUUAACAAUAGUAAGAUAGAGAUUUUCUUUUUUAAUCCUUUUCUUUUUCUCUCUAAAAAAGGAUUUUUAAUUUUUAUUAUUAUUGUAUUAUAUUAAUUAACUCAUGCAAUAAUUUAUGACAUUAAUUAAGUAACAAUUCUAUUUUUUUGAUGUUUUUUAAAUCAUAAAAAAUAUAGAAUAGUAAUUUGCUAUCUAAAGCUUUUGCGCAUAGAGUUGUCUUCUUUAAAUAAAUAAAAAUAAAUAAAAUUGUUUUUUCUAUAAAAAUAAUAAAAAUGAAAAAAUAUUUUUUUUGGGAUAAGAUAAACAUUUUAUAAAAUUACAUGAUUUUGCACUAAUAAUUAAAGGUGUCAUUUUCCUUAAUGGAUGUUAUAGGGUACUAACAUCUUUCCUACCCGUAAUCGACUCUCAAACCUAUCUUUGAUUUUAAAGAUCAUUUUGAAAAGAGUUUUUCAAUAUUUUUCUCUUAAAAUAAAAUAUUGGCGACUUCAUUUUUUGUAAAUUCUUUUACGGCAUCUCGUCGUGACCCCGAUUGCAACAUAUAUGAGCAUGUUUAGUGAGUUUGUGUCUUGUGUGUGUGUCAGCGUGCUCAAUAAAAUAAAUUAUAUCCUCUUAAAAAAAGAAAAAUAGUUAUUUUUUUCUUUUAGAAAACCCUCAUCCCUUCUUUUCUUCUCUAUCUUGGAAUCCUUGUCAGGAGUGGUGGAUCCACUUUUGGAGUAUGGGGACAAUUGCCCCCACAAAGUAAUUUUUUUACUUUAAUAUAUUGAAUAAAUAUAUUUUUUUUGCCUCCAUAAAAAAAUAGAUCUUGCCCCCACAAGAUAAUUUUUUUUAAUAAGAUGAAUGUAAAUGGUUGUAAAAGAUAAAAGAAAGAAUAAAUUGAUAUUAAUUUUACUCAUUUUAUUCUUUUAAAUUUUACUUUUUAAUUUUUUAUUACCAUUUCUAAUAAAGCGUAUAUAAUAUUUUGUUUGAGAAAAUAUUAGACUAAUUUUUGUCCACACUUAAAAAAAUUUAUAGACCCGCUAUUGUUUGCCCCCAUAAUAGAGUCUUUGGAAGUCGAAGAUAGAAAAGUGUUUCUUCUCAAUGUUUUCUUCUUUUGGGAUAAGGGGAAGUGAGAUUAUGAUUUUGUAUUUUUUUAUUGAUGUCAUUUAGGGUUCUUGACAAAAUAAAUUGGAAUUAACAAAUUAUUUUUGGUUUACAUCUAAAUAUUCAUGUGCUUUGAGUGUAAUUAUUUGUUGUGACAAAUUGUGUUCUAUGAACAAUCUGCAAUUUUCAUCAUGCGCACCCUGUUUUUCUAUUGUGCGAAAUCAAAAUUGUGCUGAAGUAGAAAUAAAAUCCAUACUAUGGUCGUGUAUAGCAAUUAUCAGUAAAAAAAUAUGUGAUAGUAAUAUUAUAGUGUAAGUGGCCUUUCCUUUUUGUAUUCCUGAUCAUGAUUUAUGUGUGUCCAUUCCUAGGAUUGUGUAUGUGUGUCAGUGUAGGAUUAUGGGUCGGUAGCAUACAUGAUUGAGUAGGGGGGUUGUUUUACAAUACCAACUAGUUUGAGGCCCGUGUAGACGCCCGGGCUGUCCUCUUACUAUAAGUAUCAUCUUACUGUAAGUGGUAUAAAUAUUGCGUAGAUAAGUGGUAUAAAUAAAUUGGAUGGAAAACAUAAAUAUUAUGAGAUGUGUGAAAAAUAUGUUUAAAAUUGGAUGGACAAAUUGUUUCCCAUGAAUAACGUAUUUCAGUAGCAACAUUGGGUUUAUAACCCACAGCAGUAGGCAUCACAGGAGGAAAAAGGAAGGAAAAAAGUAAAGUUUUUUGCAUACACCGUAGUUAGAUGCACUCAACCAUUAUAGCAGUGAAUAUUGGUACCAUAAAAGUAAAAUAUAUAAAUCGCAAGCCAUCAACAUAUGUUCAUAAGUUAAGGUUGAAGGGAAAGAAAAUCUAUGAUACCCUAAGCUAUUUGAUUAACAAAAUUAAGCAAAAUAUAAAUGAAAUAAAAACAAAAAAAAUAUAAUUGUUUGUGGGAUGGUCUUCAACUAGAAAGGGUGUCAUCCCAUAUAACUUCUUUCCUAAAUAGGAUUUUCCACGCAUGUUCAUCAAACCUGAAGAAGAAUAGAACUUCAUCUCCAGGCAUUAAGUUAUAUUGAGAGAGGUACUGGAACCAUGGCUCUGCAAGGGAUGGCAGACCAUCAUGAAUGGUGAUCUGCCACUGGUUACGUUUAUCAUAACCACGGUGGACGGGAAUAUACUUUUUUGAGCCAAACAAAAAAUUUGAAGUUGUUGUUGGAAGAACCUGUAGCCAAAUUAUAAAAACAAUUAAAGGACAUUUUUUUAAAGCAGCAGGAAAUGUUAUCUGAAUAUUACGAAUAUAAAGGACAGUUCUUUGACUAAUAGCUUAAGGUUGGCAGAGAAAAACAACAACAUAAUUGAGUGGGUUAGAAACUCCUACCAAAGGCAAGUUGUGGUGCACCAUGUCUUGUGUGAUAUCAAUUGUAAAGAUGUGUCUUCUGGUGGUAACCACUGACCUUCCCCGUGAUUGCCCAUGGAUAGGUCCGAUGACAUCAACCUCGAAAGAGGUAUUUUUGUCGGGAGCAAAAAACCGGAUAAUGACAUUGUCGUUAAUGUCGUGGGUCCUCUGAAAUUCUUUCAAACCAUCAGCAAAAAAAUAUCGGGUGUCAUAUUUUCGCACCCUAACAAAAUGUUUGCUUCCGUUAUAGUCAAAUAAAACAUAAGUUGGGUAAUAUGGCCGCCAUUGUGUAUGGUAAGACAAAGGAACCUCAAUAAUGUUCUGCAAGGAAACAUGUCAAUAAUAAAAAUAAGUUUGUUUUUGUAUCUGGAUAAAGGAAAAUGGGAAAGUAGUUGGGAUGGUGAAUGCCGACCUUGUCAACACGAAAUGGAGCUAAAAAUCAGGUUUUUGGCAUCCAAUGGGAGGGGCCCUACAACACAAUAUAUAAUGUAAUUAGUAAGAGAAAUAAAUAUGGUGGGAUUUACAAAAAACUAGACAGAAACAUGCACCCCAAAAAACCAGUAAAUCAGAAGAGAAUAUGUGUAAGCCUGGGAAAAGUGGAUGACAUACACAUAAAGAGGAGGAUAUGUGUAAGUUUGGUUGCAGUAAUGUUUGUGGGGUAAAGAGGAUAUGUGUAAGUUUGGUUGCAGUAAUUGUUGGUCUUAGUGGAUAAGACCUUUCCACCCAUUUCCUUGCUCUCUUCUUUCUCUUCAUCACCCUCUUCUCUCUUUUUAGUCUCUCUUUCCUCAUUACUCACCUACUCCAAUGCUCCCUCAUUGCUCUUUUUUCUCUCUACAUUCUCCCUCCUCUAGCUUCUGGUAAGGAUUGUCUUGCAUUCUUCCUUGGGAUUCUUCUUAGUGUUGGCCACAAAACUCCCUGUGGACCUUUCAACCAGUUGCUUGGCUAGUUGAUCCACUUGCACCUCUAGAUUCUUGAUGGCAAACUCAGUGCUCUUGUGAUUUGAUAAUGACACUUGCAUAAACUGAGUUAGAGUGUCUUCUAGCUUGGUGGUCCUCUCAUACAUGUUGGGCCCUUGAUUAGAAGGUCGGAUGGAUGGGCCACCUUGAUCCUUGUUGAAGUUAUUCCCAUGAUGGGAUCUCCAACCUUGGCCUUGAGAAAAAUUUCCCCCUUGAUUGUAGCCAGAAGGUCCUCUGUGAUGGAACCCUUGACAAUUGGGAUUGGCCAUGUAGUUUACUUCUUUGGAUGAAUCAUCUUAGGCCAUGCACAUGCCUAACUCAUGGGCCCCUCCAAAGAUGUUGCACUACAUGCAAUUGUUGAGGAAGCUUGCUCAUCAUUUCUGUGAGGGUCUCUAGUUGCUUGUCUAGGAGCUUGUUUUAAUCUAGUAGUGUGUCUUGUGAUGUGAACUCAAGAAGACUCUUCUUUGUAGGCAUGUAAGCUCAAUCACAAAGGAUGGCAUGGUCACUGGCUGCCAUGUUUUCAAUAAACUCCAUAGCUUCAUCAGGUGCCAAGUUUGGGAAAAGAAGAAUUAUGCAGUAAUACCAAUGUGAAAGAUUAAUGAUAGAGGAAAAGAAGAAAUAUAUGAAGGGUCAUACUGGAACAGAUAGUCAUAAGGUUAAAAUGAAGUCUAGUAAAGUGAAAGAAACUUACUGGAAUAGAGGAAGAUGCCAAUGUACUCAUGUUGUCGUGUGGAAGUUGAAGGUUUCACACAAAUGGAAGAAGUUACAAUGAAUAUAAUAAAUAUAAAUAUAUAGUAGUGAUUAUUGGAAAGACACCAAAUAAGUUGUGACCCCUCGAAGUCCGGUCUUAAGUUUGGUGGUGAAUAGUUACAACGAAUAGUUAUUAAUGUUUGUUUAGUAUUUGUCUUUUACGCUUCCCUAAAUUGUGUAUAUUCAUUUUGCAUAAUAGCAUAUACUUAUACUUAUGUACGUUAAUGAUGAAAUUUUGUCAGUCUUGUUUUAUGAUGAGACAGGAUGGAUGGUAGCAUUGGGAAUCAAAAGUUGUAAAUUAUGUAGGAUAAUAAUCAAGUGGAUUGUAAUCUGAGACGUACAAUAAUUACCGUGUAUUGUCAUGUGAACAAUAGACUUAAAAUGCAGUAAAAAAUAAAUGGCGAGAUUUAAUAUUGAAUAGUGGUGGGGGUUGUCUAUCAAUCAAUGUCUUUCAAUGAAUGUCACAGGCCAUGCAUAUUUUCUGGAGGGUAAGCUAUCUAGAAACCAAUUUAAAAUGUAAAUAAAAAUUGCAAAAUAAAUGUGGAUCGACUGUGAUCAACAAAAGUUGGGAAGAGAAAAAUAAGAACAUAAGUGAGUGGGUAACAAACAUACAUUAACAAAAGAGAUUUUAUCAGCCCGUGGAAAAAACAUAUGUAAAAAAAAUCUGACCAUGCUUGUUCAAUGCCAAAAAAAACUACCAAAAUUGGAUUAAGUCCUGUGGGAAAAAUAGACCGAAAAAAAGGCUGGAGACAUCAACUUGGGAUGCACAUGAACAUAAACCUUAGGGAAAACAUUGGUUCUAUGAAUUCAAUCCAUGGAAACCCACCCUGUGAAAAUCAAAUCUGCAUAUUAGACAGGAAACACUGUGAAUUAUGUAGGAUACUAAUUAAAUGGAUUGUGAUAUGAGGUGUACAAUAAUUACCAUGUACUGUUAUGCGUACACUAUACCCAAAAUGCAGUAAGAAAUGAGUGGCGGGAUUUAACAUUGGAUAGUGGCGGGUGUUGUCUAUCAAUCAUGGUCUUUCAAUCAAUGUCAUAGUCCAGGGAUACUUUGUGGAGGGUAAACUAUCCAGAAACCAAUUAAAAAAUGUAAAUAAAUGUUGCAAAAUAAUGACCGAUUAAUUUAAAUCACUCAAAACCGGGAAGACAUAACCACGAAGGUUAGCAGAUCCUAAGAAAAACGAACUUUUUAAAAAACGCAGUCACAAUGGAAAAGUCACUGGGACGAAAAUACAAUAUGGGCAGCGAAAGCAACCAAAAAAAUAACACACACAUAGAAAUUUAAUAAGAACGCUAAACAAAAAGUAAACAAUCAGGGGAAAAAUUAAAUUUAUACAACUGGUCGUGAAUGGUGUAACAAAAAUUUGGUUAUGGGUAGUUAAUCUAUAGACAGUGAUCGUGUGCAGUUGUAAAUAGAAAUCACUGUAACCCAGAAACCACCCAUAACAAAAACCAAACAAUGAGGGAAAUUUGUGAAGAAUAUGAAUCUAUAUUGCAAGAUGUGAACGCUGAAACAGGAAUUUGGUCAUGCAAAGUUAAUAUAGAGAUAAUUUUUUUAAAUAAUAAAGACAAUUUUGAGAGCCCAUGUGACAAAAUGUAAAUUGAAAACUCUAUAACCCAAAAAAAACCCAAAUAUAUAAAUAAGUUAUGUCAUAUAAUUGACAAUAAAGAUAAGACACAAAUAAAGGAUGUCAAAUAUUUGGUCGUAAACAUAACAUAUAGAUAAAGGAUGUAAUAUAUUUGAUAAUAAACAUUAUCAAUCAAAUAUUUGAUAAUAAACAUAACACAUAGAUAAAGGAUGUAAUAUAUCUUAUAAUAAACAUAACACAGUAACAUAAAGAUUUCUUCAUCAAUCAAAUGGGGUCAUGAUAAUUUGUAGAAUGUAAAUACUCAUGGGUGAGUUAUUAAGUAUAGGGAAGAGGCUUCCAAUAAGAUGACGUCAAUACAAAGAUUAGAUUAUAUGAACGUCCAAUAUCAUCGUAAGCAGAAUGUAUAAAUUUUGGCAUUACCAAGCCUUAUGUCCAAUAUGAAUGUAAGGAGCACCUAUAAAUUAAUAAUUUAUAAUUGUAGACAUGGAAGACAAAACAAUAUAUUUAAAAAAGAUGUGAGUGAAAACUUGUAUUUUCAUAUUGACAUGGUGUACCUAGAAUGCUCUGUUCAUCAUAAUCAUCACAUAUCCAUCCCUGUUUGUGUCUCAUCCACAUCACCAUUAUUUUGAUCUGGCAUGCCAUCAAUUAGGUUUGAAUUGUGUAUCACAAAAUUCCCUUAAGUAAUAAAACCCAGAAACAACCCACAACAAAAACCAAACAAUCAGGAAUAUUUAUUAACAAUAUGAAUGUAUAUUGCAACAUGUGAAUGGUGAAAUAGAAAUUUUGGUCAUGCAAAGUUAAUAUAGAUAUUAUUUUAAAAAAUAAUAAAGACAAUAGGACACAAAACAACAACCAAACAUGUGUCAAUGUUGACAGGACGUGCGACAAAAUUAAAUUAAAAACUCUGUAACCCAAAAAAAACCCAAAACAAAUAACUCCAAAUAUAUAAAUAAAGGAUGUCAUAAAUUCAUAAAUAAAGGAUGUCAUAAAAUUCAUAAAUAAAGCAUGUCAUAAAUUUACAAAUAAAGCAUGUCAUAUAUAAACAAAGAACUCCAGAUAUAUCAAUCAGGUUUGAAUUGUGGAUCACAAAAUUUCCUUCAUCUGGAGGCUAAGUUGGGGAUCCAUUUUGAUGUUGCACAACAUAAAAAAUGUCAUCAAAUAAAUAUAACAGUUGAUGAACCCCCCAAAAAAACCCAACAAACUUAUAAAAGACAGAAUUAUAAUUGUGAAAACAAUAGAAAAGCCUGGCAAGAUUGGGUUAAUUGCUGUUGAAAAACAAUGUAGAAAAAAAACCCUCCACCAUAAAUUAAACAAAGUUAUACAGACAUACACACACAAAAAUGAUAGAGCAUAAACCUUGGGUAAUAGAAAAAUUUGACAAUAGUAGAAAAACAAAGGGUUGAUAGAUUAAGUAGCUGAUAACGUCUGAAACGAAACUUGGUUCUGAGUUUAAAUCAAUGGGCAUCCACCCUGUGUCAAAACCAAACCUGGAGCUCUAAAACCCAAAACAAAGGAACCAAAAAAUCAAACAUUUAGGUAAUAACCCAAAUGAUCUAUCUGACAAACUAACCGAUCAAAAGAAAUGUGUAUUAGCUUGUGCCUUCAAACACAACCAAACUUUUUUCAGGUAAAGGGCAUAAUGAUUUAUCUCAAAAAAGAAACCAAGCAAAAUAAAUGUAUAUUAGCCCAUGCCUUCAAACACUUUGUACGUCCAUGAUAUUGCAACAACCUAAAUAAAGCAAACGUCGGAAGACGAACUUGCAGAAAGAUCUCAGCUUUUUCCUGACAAAAAAUUAGGUAAAAAAAUAAAAUUUGCUUUAACAAAAUCAAAAAGCAUAUACAAAUAAAGGUCAGACUAAAAAGAGGCACACAUGGAAAUACAAAUGUUGGAAAUAAUGCAACACAAUCGAACACAACAGUCACCCACAGAAACAUCGAACCUUCUUGGUUGCACAAAGCCGUGAGAAAAAGAACUUGUAGAAAGAGGUGUUGCUUUUUUCAAAUAAAGGUAUAAACGACAAACAAUAGAAUCAAUGUCUAAAGAUAAACAUCAGAAAAUAUGAGGUUCAGGAAAUAAUAGCAACCAUCCAUCCAAAAAUAAGGCAAAAAAAAUAAAGAUGUGCUUCAACAAAAUCAAAAAGCAAAACAAAAAUCCCAACAGUCACUCACAGAAACAUUGAACCUUUUUGGUUGAACAAAGACAUAAAUAAAAACAAACCAUGAAAAAUAAUCGAACACAGGGACAACCACAAAAAUAUCAAACCUUUUUGGUUGAACAAAAUCAUAAAUCGCACAAAGAAGGGAGAACAUGGCUGGAAAUCAGUAAAAAACAAAUAAAUAGAAAGAAAAUAUUUGCUUCAACAAAAUCGAAAAGCAUAUACAUCAGAAAUAUGAGGUUCAGGAAAUAAUAGCAACCAUUCGUCCAAAAAUAAGGCAAAAAAAUAAAGAUGUGCUUCAACAAAAUCAAAAAGCAAAACAAAAAUCCCACGAAGGUUGAACCUUUCUUCUUGUACUAAAAGUUUGUAAAAAAAAAUAAUACCGAAACAUGCAGAUUGCACAUGAAUAUAUAUACAAAUAGACGCCAGACAAAAAAGAGGCACAGAGGAAAAUGCAAAUAUUAGAAACAAUACAACAUAAUCAAACCCAACAGUCACCCACAUAAUCAUUGCACCUUUUUGGUUGAACAAAGGCAUAAAUAAAAACAAACCAUGGAAAAUAAUCAACCACAGGGACAACCACGAAAAUAUCGAGCCUUUUUGGUUGAACAAAGUCAUAAAUCGCACAGAGAAGGGAGAACAUGGCCGGAAAUUAGUAAAAAAACAAACAAAUAGACAGAAAAUAGGACGCAAAAGAUACUUAUUUUAUAGCAUUUAGUAAAUAAAAGGAGACAUUAAAUUUCACCACUCAUCAGGUCUGCCAGCGCUUCAUUUUUUCUCUCUGUUAUUUGGGAUAAAGAGAAGCACAUUAAGGUGUCCACACAUAGUAAAAGGUCAGAAAGCAUAACAAAUAAAACAUACCCAAAGAAAGAAAUACACAAAGAAGGGGAAAAAAGGUAUAUAAAAGGGAAGACAUAGUAAAAGGUCAGUAAGCAUGGAUAACACCUUGGUAAAAUUGAAUAUAUUUAAAUAAUUGAAGGAUUAUUUUAAAUUUUAAAAAUAUGAUAUGAGAAUCAAUUUUUGAAAAGAUAAUAAAUCAUUUAAAUUUUUUUAGAUAAGAUGCGGUUAAUUUCUAAACUCAAUUUGAAACUCCAAAUAAAGUAAAGAACAUAGUUUAAUGAUUUUUCACUUGCUAGUAUACGUCGAACAAAAAUCUUACCCACAAUUUAUUCUAAAUUUAAAGAGGAAAAAUUGUUAGAAGUAGAUAGAAUGAGAGAGUUUAUAAUACUGGAAUCAAUUUUCAUAACUUCAUUAUUAUCAAAACAAAAAGAUCAUAUCAUACUUUUAAUGGAAAAAAUAUUUUUAUAUCAAAGUGAAAUCGAUAAAAUUACUAAUAUUAAAUAACUCAGUGUAAGUAAUAUUAAAAAUGUGUUUUCAAUUUACGUUUUUCAGCAAAUUAUAAACAAUACAAUGCAUUGUCUGAAAACCAUAAUGAUUAAAUUACAACUUUAAAAUGUUAAAACAAAGUAACAUAAAAAUUUCUCCAUCAAUCAAAAUGGGGUCAUCAUCACUCUAUUUGUCUCAGAACAUGGUAACUCUUUUUCACCUCCUCAGUUGCAGCUUCACCAUCCUGUUAAGAAACAAUCUAAGGUUAUAAUAAAAAUUGCAAGAAAAAUAGAACUUUAAUAAAGAAAAUCACAACGGAUAAAAUCCAAAUCUCCCACAAACUAUCACACUACAGAAUCUGAAACAGAAACAAAAAUCCAACCUUUUAAAAAAAUUCUUGUUCAAUUCAAAACCAACAAUAUCGACCUCAUGAAACAAAAAAAAAGGGUUACAAAUCACAAAAACUAACCAAUUCAAAACACAGGUUUGGAUGACAAUGUUCUAUUGCCUUGUGAAGGGUUGCCUUAACAUGUUAGAUUUACAACAACAUUACAGCCUGUCCCAAAAAUCGACCACAAAAAAUGAGACAAAAAAAUUGAUUAGGUUUUGAGAAAAAUAGUGUGCUUGGAAUAGAUUCAGGUGGAAGAUAAAAAUGACAUCUUUAGUCUUCCAGAAGAGAGGAGUUUCUUGGGAAAAAAGAAAAAUCACAAAUAUUCUUAGAAAUAAAGAACAAAUCCAGCAAAGCGUCAUCGCCUUCAGCACCGCCGUUAGCCUAUCCCAAAAAUCACCACAAAAAAAUAGAAAAAAAACGAAUAAAAUAGAUAAAAAUGGAACCUUUAUUCUUCAACACUGCCCUGUGAAUCAUAUUAUUGCGAAAGGUCACACCUUUUUCUGUCCAAGGGGAAAAUAGAUAAAAAUGGAACCUCAUCGGAAUCAGACAAAGGUCACACCUUUUUCCCGUCCAAAGCAAUAUAAAAACCAAAGCGAAAAAAAAAACCGAACAAAGAAGGCCCUUGCAUGGCAAAACAUCGUCACCUUUAGCACCGCCGUUAACCUGUCCCAAAAAUCACCACAAAAAAUUAGACAACAAAAGGAAUAAAUUAGAUAAAAAUGGAACAUUUAUUCUUCAACAUUGCCCUGUGAAUCAUAUUGUUGCGAAAGGUCACACCUUUUUUUCGUCCAAGGGGAAAAUAGAUAAAAAUGGAACCUCGUCGAAAUCAGACAAAGGUCACACCUUUUUCCCGUCCAAAGCAAUAUUAAAACCAAAGCGGAAAAAAAUCGAACAAAGAAGGCCCUUCCAUGGCAAAGCGUUGUGACCUUCAGCAUCGUCGUUAGCCUGUCCCAAAAAUCACCAAAAAAAUUAGACAAAAAAAGAAAUAAAAUAGAUAAAAAUGGAACCUUUAUUCUUCAACACUGCCUCGUGAAUCAGGUCACACCUUUUUUGCGUGGAACCUCGUCGGAAUCAGACAAAGGUUACACCUUUUUCCCGUACAAAGCAAUAUAAUAACCAAAGAGGGAAAAAACCGAACAAAGAAGGCCCUUGCAUGGGCAAAGCGCUGUGACCUUCAGCACCGCCGUUAGCCUGUCCCAAAAAUCACCACAAAAAAUUAGACAAAAAAAGGAAUAAAAUAGACAAAAGGUCACACCUUUUUUCUAUCCAAAGCAAUAUAAAAAUCAAAGCGAAAAAAAUCGAACAAAGAAGGCCCUUAAGCGGAAGAAAAGAGGAGAAGACGAGGGAGAGAAAGAGAGAGGAACGGAAGAUUAACAAAGACGCAAAAAGAAAGGGGAAGAGAGAAAGAGAGAGAAGGUAAUGAUAGAAAAGAAAGAGUGGGAACGUAAUUUCAUGAGAGAGAAAGAGAAGAGAAGGGAAAAUGUAUUUGCAUUAAAUAGAAAAGAAAAAAAAUAUUUAAUAAAGGCACAAAGCUUCAGGUCUGAGGAGGGAUUUUUGGGUAAAUAAUAAAUAAGAAAAGGGAAUUGCAACAGCUAGCACCGAGGAAGAGAGAAGGGGCCUUCUAAAAAGUGCUUGCCAGGUGUCGCAAUGAGAUAUAAUAGAGCAGUCAGGGCCUUGUUUGUAUAAGACAUAGAGAUGUGUGUGGCUUCUUUUCCCUUUUGGUUUAAGGAUCAUGUUAACUUUUUGUAAUUGUUAUAAGUGCUGGUGGAGACACUACUCAUAACUCUACCAGAUUUUGUCUUCUUUAUUAUUUAUAUAAUAUUCCUAAUUGACUAUCAAGAAAUUUUUUGUGUAGGUGCAGGAUAUUAAAAUGCUUCUUUUUAUAUUUAGUUUCAAGUCAUUUCCUUGGUAAACUUUUGGUGGGUUUCUCGUUGAGCACAAAAUUGGCAAAGGCUUGAUCAUCAUAUGCAUAUUGUUUCACUUGAAUUAAUUUGGAGAUGCAGACCUGAUGAGGACAUGACCAAGAGCAAGGGCAAGGAUCCACUUGAAGGACUUGGAGGACCUAUGAAAAGGGCUAGAGCAAGGAAAGCCAAGGAAGCUCUUCAACAAGUGCUGUCCAUACUAUUUGAAUACAAGCCCAAGUUUCAAGGAGAAAAGUCCAAGGUUGUGAGUUGUAUCAUGGCCCAAAUGGAGGAGGACUAAAUGACACCACUUUGUUUCAAUUUUAGAGUGUUUAGUUUGUCUAAAUAAUGGCCCAAUCCUUGUAAAGGUGGCUGACCAAAAAUAUGUUUUGGGUUAAUCAACUAAAAGGGCUUUAGUUCAAGUUGUAAUAAGGGCCCAAUUGGCAACCUAGGCAUCAGCCUUUUGGGAGACCAAAUGGUGGCUGACUUGUUGGCUGUUGGGGGUGACUUUUGGUUGCCACAAUUUCAGUUACACUCAGCCAUUAAGUUUGUUUUAAUUCCCUAGGUUAAUGGCAUUAAGUUAUUUUAAUUCUAGGUUAGUGGGUCAUUACUAAAAUCUGCUGUAAAGCUUCUAUAUAAGCUGAACCAUUUUAUCAAUAAACACAAGUUGAGUUUUAUUCAGAAAAUUAGAGUUUAUCUCUUUUAUCUUAGUGAGAGUGAUUCUCCUAAAUUCUUGAGUGAUUCAAGAACACCCUGGCUGUAUCAAAGGACUUUCACAACCUUUGUGUGUUGCCCUCGCUGGAAAGAGUGAUUCUUUCCUUCCUUUCAUCUUCACCCUUGUUCUUUCAAACCACAAUUCCAGAAAAUCCACCUCUGCCCAGAAUUAUCUUGUGGCCAUAACUCCCAUUUUACGCACUCAAAUUAAGUGAUUCUUGAGCCUAAAUUGACUUUCAAAACGAGACCUUUCACCUCGUUUUGGAAUCACCUCAUUUGGAGCCCUGUAGCUUCAGUUAUUGCCAUUUCUAUAUUUCUGUCCAACCACCACUUAACCUACAUUUUACCAUCCCAUUCAUCCAUUUUAUGCCAAGAACCACCUUAUUAAGACCCACGAAAUUAACCACCUUAUUUUCCAUCCUUUCCUUAAUCAAUUUCCGCAUUUUCCAUCAAGGUUUAAUCCUAGACGAUCCUAAGUCAGCCCUUGUGCCAUGAGGGUUCAUAUCAUUUGGUAUCAGAGCUCCGGUUCUAGGAUCAACACUUCCUUUGCUGGAAAUAUUGGGUAGCAUCCUUCUUUAUUCUCUUUGCCAUUUAUAUUACCUUCUUAUUCAUAUAUUUUUUUUAGGCUGAACCAUUGCAAAAGUUAAGCCUUUUGAUCUCUUUGAUAUAAAAAAAAAGAAGCAGAAUUUCGUAUAAGCAAAAUUAAAAAAAAAAAAAAUUGGGCUAAAUGGUUCAUGCUUGAAGAACUUUUAAAAAAAAAUCUCUUUAAGGUAAUAUAUUGGUUGCAUGAAGGAUUGUUACUUGAAUUCCUAAAUUCUGAAUUUUAUUUCCUUCAUUUGUGCCUAAAAACAUUGUUAGCCUUUUUCUUGGUUAACCUUUUCCUUGUCUCUCUAGCCUUACCUUACACAUAUUGGUGAAUUGUUCUUUGUUGUGGCCAUAAUCUCUUGAAUUGCCUAAGAACUCAAGGGGAAUUAGAGUGGUAAAAGGCAAGAGUGUUUCAUUAGAGAAAAGCCAUAAUUGUGUGAUACACUUGAGUGGGUGAGGUAUUCAAACAGCAACUAUAAUUGUCUUGUUACGUUUGAUUUGUUUGUUUGAGAUGUCAGGUACUAAUCCUAAUGAUGGAGUGGGGCUUUCGCAAUUCCAAAUGCAAGCUUUGAUGCAACAUUUGGAGAGGUUAAUGAAACGAGAUGAUGCGCUCCAUGAGAGGUUGGAUCAAAUGGAGAAUAGAGAUCAUAAUGAAGAAGAAAGGAGGAGAAGAGGGGAUGAUGGUAUUCCUACACAAAACCGAAUUGAUGGUAUUAAACUCAACAUUCCUCCAUUUAAAGGAAAGAAUGAUCCGGAGGCCUACUUGGAGUGGGAGAUGAAAAUAGAGCAUGUUUUCUAAUGCAACAACUAUGAGGAGGACCAGAAGGUGAAGCUUGCCGCCACGGAGUUUUCCGACUAUGCUCUUGUGUGGUGGAACAAGCUACAAAAGGAGAGAGCAAGAAAUGAAGAGCCAAUGGUUGAUACAUGGAUGGAGAUGAAAAAGAUCAUGAGGAAGCGGUAUGUGCCGGCUAGUUACUCAAGGGACUUGAAAUUCAAGCUCCAAAAACUAACCCAAGGCAACAAGGGGGUUGAGGAGUAUUUCAAGGAAAUGGAUGUGCUCAUGAUUCAAGCAAAUAUUGAAGAAGAUGAGGAGGUAACUAUGGCUCGAUUUCUUAAUGGUUUGACUAAUGAUAUCCGUGAUAUUGUUGAGCUGCAGGAGUUUGUUGAAAUGGAUGAUUUGCUUCACAAAGCAAUCCAAGUGGAGCAACAAUUAAAAAGGAAGGGAGUGGCUAAGAGGAGUUUUACCAACUUUGAUUCUUCUGGUUGGAAAGACAAAGGAAAGAAAGAUGGGGCUGCUACUUCUAGUAGUUCCACACCUAUCCCAUCAAAAACUCGCUCAAAUUCCCAAGAGGAACCCUCUAAAAGGAGUAGAGAUGUGAAGUGUUUCAAGUGCCAAGGCCUAGGACACUAUGCUUAUGAGUGCCCUAACAAAAGGUCCAUGGUUCUUAGAGAUGGAGAAUAUAUAAGUGAAUCUGAUGUUGAAGAGGAAGAGGAGAGUGAGUACGUAGAGGAAGAGGAGACUCCGGAGGGAGAUUUGUUUAUGAUUAGGCGGUUACUUGGUGGUCAAUUGAAGCAUGAGGAUUCAUAUCAACAACCUAUGAACCCAAUGCAUGAGCCUUCUAGAAAUUCUACUCGAGUGCACCAUGCACAUGAUAGAUUAAACUUGAUGAUGCUAGAUGACACAUCAAAUAAGGUUUAUCAUGAUGAUGAUGAUCCAAGAAGCUAUGAAGAGGCUAUGUAAAGCUUGGAUUGUAAGAAAUAGCAAAAAACUAUGGAAUCCAAAAUAUAAUCAAUAAAGAUCAACAAAGUAUGGACUUUAGUUGAAGCUUCAAAGGUUGGUUGUAAAUGGGUUUACAAGAAAGGAUUGGAGCAAAUUGGAAGGUUGAAACCUACAAAGCUUGCCUUGUUGCCAAGGGAUANNNNNNNNNNNNNNNNNNNNNNNNNNNNNNNNNNNNNNNNNNNNNNNNNNNNNNNNNNNNNNNNNNNNNNNNNNNNNNNNNNNNNNNNNNNNNNNNNNNNAUAAGGAAUUAGACAUAAUAUUAUAAUUAAUUGUACCUAUAUAAUGAAUUUUAUCCCACAUGAAUUUUUAUUAUAUUUGUAUAAUUGGGAUAAAAUGACAUAUUAUUUUUCAUGGUUUACCCACAGGGAUCAUGAGGUAUGCAUAAUUUGUCAAUUUUAUCAUAAAGUAAAAAUUUGUGAUAUAAAAUUAAAUUAUUUUCAUUGUGUACCCGUAAGGCAUGAAUUUGAGUAUGUAAUUUGAUUAUUCUCUCAUAAAGUUUAAUUUUUUCUUAUAGAAUUAAAAAUUUAGCCCAUAUGCAAUUUUUUAAUGUCACAAGAUUCAAUUUUCUGGUAUGUUUACAUUGGUAAAACAUACAAUUAUGAUUAAUAUGCAUCAAAUUUUGACACAAGCCUUUGGAUUUUGCAACUUCUCAAAUUGUUAGUUUUUCUGAUAUUCAAUGUGAUGUUCCCGAACUCAAGGGAGAUAACUAUAAGAUAUGAAAUGAGAUAAUUCUUCUUCAAUUGGAGUGGAUGGACAUAGACUAUGCUACAAGGAAAGACGAACCACUUACAAUCAUUGACAAAAGUAGCCUAGUUGUUGUUGCGCUAUAUGAGCGGUGGGAGCGAUCCAAUCGACUAAGCGUGAUGUUCAUUAAGACCAAAAUUUAGGCCAGGAUACGUGGUUUUGUCGACCAGCAUGAAAAGUUCUGAGACUUGCUUAAGGCCAUUGAUGACCAGUUCAUCACUUCAGAUAAGGCUUUAGCAAGCACCCUGAUCAUGAAGUUCUCGUCUUUCUGACUCACCGGUGUGAAAGGUGUGCGUGAGUACAUAAUGCAAAUGCAAGAUAUUUCAGCUCAACUUAAGAAACUGGAGGUUGAUAUGUCUGAGUUCUUCUUGGUGUACUUCAUUUUGAACACCCUUCCAUAGGAAUAUGGAUCGUUUAAGAUUUCCUACAACACACAUAAGAACAAAUGGUUUAUCAAUGAAUUAAUGACCAUGUGUGUUCAGGAAUAAGAAAAACUUGUAAUGGAGAUGGGUGAGAGUGUAUUGCUGACAACUGCUUGUGGGAAGAACAAAGCAACUAAAUCUCAAGCUAAUCAGAAGGGGAAUUGUAAAAUACCACCUCAAGUUGAUAUUAAGAAGGUGACAAAGUGUUUCUUUUGUAAGAAGAAUGGACACAUAAAGAAGAAUUACCCCGGAUUCCAUAAAUGACUUGAGAAGAAAGGUAAAUCAAUCUCAUUAGUAUGUUAUGAAUCUAAUAUAGCUAGUGUUAAUAUUAACACCUGGUGGAUUGAUUCUGGAUCUACUAUUCAUAUUGCAAAUUCUUUACAGGGUAUGCAAAACCUAAUGAAACCAAUGGGAAGUGAGUAAAGCAUUUUAUCAGACAAUAAGCUAGGCUCACCUGUGGAGGGUAUUGGAACUUGCAUUUUAACUUUAAGUAGUGGCUUUAUUUUGAAAUUAAAAAGGACCUUUUAUGUACCGAGUUUUUCUUGAAACUUGAUUUCUGUUUCUCGACUCGUACCUUUUGGAUAUUCCUUUAAUUUUAAAGACACAUCCGUUGAGUUAUUUUAUAAUUCUGAAUGUGUUGGGAAUGAUAUCUUGUCUAAUGGUAUUUAUCUUCUUGGUUUACAAAAUUAUGUCACUUAUAGUUCAAUGCAUGUUCAAACUAGCAUUAAAAGGUGUAAUAUUAAUGAGAAUUCCUCUAUGUUAUGGCACCGGAGAUCAGGACAUAUCUCCAUUGAGAGGAUUAAAAGGUUAGUAAAAGAUGCGGUACUGAAUACUCUAGAUUUUGCUAAAUUUAAGACUUGUGUGGACUGCAUUAAGGGUAAGCAGACCAAUAUGUCUUAGAAAAGUGCUAAAAAGAGUUUAAGCAUAUUAGAAAUAGUUCAUACUAAUAUUUGUUGUCCAAAUAUGGAUGCACGUGGUCAAAAAUAUUUUAUCACCUUUAUAGAUGAUUAUUCACGAUAUAUGAAUGCUUAUUUUGCUUCAUAACAAAAAUGAAGCAUUGGAUGCCUUCAAAGUCUUUAAGGCUGAAGUUGAGAACCAAUGUGGCAAGCAAAUAAAAAUAAUGAGAUGAAAUAAAGGUGGAGAAUAUUAUGGCAGAUAUACUGAGAAUGGACAAACACAUGGUCCUUUUGCAAAGUUUCUUCAAGAACAUGGGAUUGUUGCCCAACACACUAUGCUUGUUUCUCCAAAUCAAAAUGAUGUGACAGAAAGAAGGAACCGAACAUUAUUGGACAUGGUAUAGAGUAUGCUUAGCAAUUCCAAUCUUCUUAAAUCCUUGUGGGCUUAAGCACUAAAGACGAUAGUGUAUAUAUUAAAUCAUGUUCCAACCAAGGAUGUCCCAAAGACACCUUUGAGUUGUUUAAAGGUUGGAAACCGAGUUUGAAACAUAUGUGCAUUUGGGGUUGUCCGUUUGAGGUGAGAAUAUAUAACCCACAAGAGAAGAAACUUGACCCGAGGACUUAGUAGGUAUUUCAUUGGAUAUGCCGAAAGGUAUAAAGGUUAUGGGUUUUACUGUCCAUAUCAUAUUACUAGGAUUGUGGAAUCAAGAAAUGACAAGUUUCUUGAAAAUGACUUGAUCAGUGGGAGUGAUCAAUUGAGGGACUUAGGUUCUGAAAUUGAUUAUAGAGAGUCUCAACCUUCCACAUCAAGUGAAAGAUUGGUUGUAAUUCACACCCCUCAAGUUCAAAGGGAUGAUGAAUAACACAUGACUGGUAUUCCAUAACCUAUAGUUAAUAAUCCAGUUGAUCAUCAAAUUACUGAAAAUGAUGAACAACCAGUUGAACAACAUGAUCCCCAAGAAAAUGUUGAUGCGGCAUUAAGGAGGUCUACUAGACUAAGAAAAUCAAUUAUUCCUAGUGAUUAUAUUGUAUAUUUGCAAGAAUCUGACUAUAAUAUUGGAGCUGAAAAUGAUCUUGAAACUUUUGAUCAAGCCAUGAGUUGUAAAGAGUCAAAUUUAUGGUAUGAUGCCAUGAAGGAUGAGAUGAAUUCCAUGCAGAGUAAUAGAGUUUGGAACCUUGUAGAGUUGGAUAAUAGGGUAAAAGCCAUUGGCUAUAAAUGCGUCUUUAAGACCAAAAGGGAUUCAUUAGGCAACAUUGAGAGAUACAAGGCAAGACUCAUUGCUAAGGGAUUUACUCAAAAAGAAGGAAUCGACUACAAAGAGACUUUUUCUCCUAUAUCUAAGAAAGAUUGUCUUCGUAUUAUCUUGGCAUUAGUUGCUCAUUUUGACCUUGAGUUGCAACAAGUGGAUGUGAAAACAACCUUUCUUAAUGGUGAUUUAGAGGAGGAGGUUUAUAUGAAACAACUUAAAGGCUUCUCCUCUAGUAGCGGUGAGCAUUUGGUUUUCAAGCUUAAUAAAUCUAUAUAUGGUUUAAAACAAGCCUCCUGUCAGUGGUACCUUAAGUUUCAUGUGAUAAUUUCUUCAUUUGAUUUUGAUGAAAACCCCAUGGAUCAAUGCAUAUACCACAAGGUCAUUGGGAGUAAAAUAUAUUUUCUUGUUUUAUAUGUAGAUGAUAUUUUACUUGCAACCAAUGAUCGGGGUUUGUUGCAUGAGGUGAAACAAUUUCUCUCUAAGAAUUUUGACAUGAAGGAUAUGGGUGAUGCAUUUUAUGUCAUAAACAUUAAGAUUCAUAGAGAUAGACCUCGAGGUAUUUUAGGUCUACCACAGAAAACCUAUAUUAACAAAAUUUAGAGAGAUUUCAGAUAAAAGAUUGUUCACCAAGUGUUGCUCCCAUUGUGAAGGGUGAUAGGUUUGGUUUGAACCAAUGCCCAAAGAAUGACUUUGAGAGGGAACAUGUGAAAAUCAUUCCUUAUGCUUAAGUUGUUGGAAGUCUCAUGUAUGCUCAAGUAUGCACAAGGCUUGGCAUUGCUUUUGUAGUUGGAAUGUUAGGAAGAUAUCAGAGUAAUCCAAGUAUUGACUACUGGAGAGCUGCAAAGAAAGUGAUGAGGUACUUCCAAGAGACCAAAGAUUAUAUGCUUAUGUAUAGACAGACAAACAAUCUAGAUGUGAUUGGUUAUUUAGACUCAGACUUUGCUAGCUGUGUUGACUCUCGCGAAUCAACAUCUGGGUACAUUUUCAUGAUGGCUGAACUAUUUUGUGGAGGAGUGUUAAGCAGACUUUGAUUGUUAUUUCUACCAGGAAAGCUGAGUUUGUCUCUUGUUUUGAGGCUACAUCACAUGGUGUAUGGUUUAAGAGUUUCAUUUCUGGGCUGAAGAUAGUUGAUACUAUUUCAAGGCCUUUGAGAAUUUUCUACGAUAAUUCACCUGCAAUCUUUAUGGCUAAAAAUAACAAACGUGAAAGUCGAAGUAAACACAUCAACAUUAAGUACUUAGCCAUUAGAGAAAGAGUAAAAGACAAGAAAGUGGUCAUUGAGCAUAUAAGCACUGAGUUGAUCAUCGCUAUGAUUGUAUACAUACAAGUUAGAGUUGAAACUUUUAUAUUGUGAUAUUUUCUCAUAUUCAGGUGCACAUUGAUUUAUGUGAGAAAAAUUAUGUUUCGGACCAAGAAUAAACAUUGGGUUUAUUCAUUAAGUUUUAUUACCACUUUGAGUAUACUACUUGGGAAAUCGAGCAUAUUGUAAUGCAUGGAUGAUAUUACUCGUUAUAAGAGGAAUAUCACUAUGAUUCAUAUAUUCAUUUCUUAAGAAGAUUGAGCAUUGAUUUAUUUUAAUCAAUGAGUCAAAACAUUUGGACCAAGUGGGAGAAUGUAAUAUUUUGGUUUGUACGUUUUGGAAAAUAAAAUGCUCCAUCAAUUUUGGAAUUGAGAAGUCAAAUAUUGAAUGACUACUAAUGGAUGGUAAUGACUACUAAUGAGUGAUAAUGGUUACUAAAUACAUUUUUGAUGGUAAAAUGCCUAUAUAUAGCACAUGUAUUUGAUCCCUGAGCUCACUUCUUCUAAUUUCGUCUAAUACACCAUCUACAGAGAGAGUGAGAGCUUGGAAGAACCAAAACAAGACAACUCUUUCAUGGCAAUGGCUGGAGGUACAUUUUGAUUUUUGUUUUUUUCGCAUUUUGUUAAUGACAUGUGUUUCAUUUUGUAUUUUGUAACAUCACAUGUUAAAAUUUUUUUGUCUAACAUACACAACUACGAGCCUCAAUAUAAAGUGAACAUAAAGGACUCGAAGAAAAUUGAUGAACAAGUACAGAAAAGUGAAAAAGUUGAGCAUCAAGAAAAGAAAGAAAAACUACAUCUUUAGAAAGAAACAUUGAACUUUAAAGAGUCCAUUCUUUGUAUUUUACAAAGCUUUGUUGCGAGAUUAAGAACUCCAUUGUAAAUGCAAUCUUGGAGUGUUGAAUUGAGAUCAACAACAGUCAUAUUGUUCAACGAUGAAGAUCCUUUACACAACUAGGAGCCUCAAUAUAAAGUGGACAUAAAGGACUCGAAGAAAAUUGAUGAAUAAGUACAAAAAAGUGAAAAAGUCGAGCAUCAAGAAAAAAAAAGAAAAUUACUACAUCUUUAGAAAGAAACAUUGAGCUUUAGAGAGUCCAUUCUUUGUAUUACAAAGCAUUGUUGCGAAAUUGAGAACUUUAUUGUAAAUGCAAUCUUUGAGUGUUGAAAAGAAUCUCUGAUUCUAAACCAAACUUUUGUUUAUGAAAGUCAGGAGUGACUUAGUGACUAAAUAAUACGUGGGUGUUCUUAGAUUUAGGGGGAAUCUAAUAGUUGUACCGAUAGUGGCCUUAAGAAUACUUGUAAGUCAUAAGUGGCAGAAGAAAAUACUUGUUGUAAUCAAGUUUGAUUAGUGGAACCCUACACACUUACCCUCUAAGCACCUAGUGCUUGUGGCUAGGGGAUUGUGUACCCUCUGGAUUGGAUCGUAUUUUUGAUCCCCCCCAUCAAAAUGACCCUUUGCCUAAUUCAAUUAAUGUUGAGUGAUUUGCAUCCAAUCACAAUUAUCUGCCACACACAAAUCAUGCUCCGUGAUUCUUGGGAUAUGGUGUAACAUUUUGAUAUGCAUUAAUGCCUCAAUCCAUGAACGUCAAGGUGAUACACAUAGCAAACCAUGAUAAAUAACCCUCAUUCUGACCUAGAGAGGCAGGUUAGACAUUACACUUCACUUAAGUGCUUUGGACGGGGUUGCCUCCACUAUGAGAAAACCUUUUUCUAGAACAAUGCUCAUGAUCUUUUUUUAUGAGUACCUCUUGAUCUAUAACAUGAGAAACUGUUUUUGUAUUGAGUUCUCACUCACGUACCACGUUGACUCAAAAUUGAGUUCAUUGAAGUAAGCGUUUGAAUGAAGUAUGAUACAAGUUGUUACCAUCCCAAUUAAGUUUUUAAGGUAUGAAUAAUUUUUUGGUGUACUACUACUAGGCUUUUAGGUAAAAAAAUAUUACUUAAAUAUAAAAAUUUUGUUUAUAAUUUUACAAAUGGUGUUUCAAGGUAUUUAAAAUUAAAAAAAUUCUUCUACUUUAUUCUUUUAUUUGAGUUUCUAUGUCUAAUAUAGCCAAGAAUAUUAAAUCAAACAUUUAACUAUACCAUAUUUUAUUUAUAAGAUGGUAUAAGCACUCCUUUAAAAUUAAAUGAGAAUAUUAUAAUUUAGUUAUUGUUUAGAAAACAUUGCAUUUAAUGAUAAGAAAAGAAAACAUAGUGUAAUUUACACUCAUGAUCUUUCUUUGUCCUUAUUUAAAUUGUUUGAUUAUUGGAAUAUCGUCAUUUUCAAAAAUAGCAUUCAAAAUAGGCUAAAUUACUAUUUUGGUCCUUUAAUUUAUUUUAAUAUUCAAUUUGAUCAUAAAUGGUUUAAUUUGGUCAUUUAAUUUUUUUAAAUGGUUCAAUUAGGUCCUUUUAUCUAAAUUGAAGUUAAUAGUGUUAACACUAGGUACAUGUGUCACUCUCUUACACUUUUUGAUAAUCUAAUAAGUCACAUUAAAUAAAAUGGCAGUUAAAAACCAUCACUAUUAUUAUUGCAAUUUUUAAAUUAAAAAAGGAGUUGUGAAUUAUUAUAAAACAAGAAACCCAACCCAAAACCCAGAAACUAAGAACCCCAACCCAGAACCCAAAUCCCUAAUCCCUUUCUUCAUGUUCUUUAAACCAGAACACACAAGAACUAAGAACUCCAACCCAUAACCCAGAAACCCCCGUGCGGCCUUGAUAAGAUCCAAUGUUUCCAUGAUAUUGACUUAAGGAAGAAGCAACACAAACACAUUGUGAUUCAGAAGCAGCACAUCAAUGGGGCCUACAUCGUCCAUUGUGCGCUUCACAACGUCGAAGUCCUACAUGUCCGUCGCAAUCGUCACCACCACACAAUCCCCAUGGCGAGGUGGAUCGUGUUCUGCGCCUCUUUUAACUUCUCUGACGAUUGCACGAGGAUUGAGUCGUGCACACCCUUCACCACGUGGUGUGCCAACACCACAUGACUUGGAACGAGGCUACCAAAUCUACAAGAAGCUUCUCCAAGCCAUUGAGGACUUUGUAGUACAAAUUAUGAGAGUGGUGAGAAAUAAAGUAGAACAUAAAGGUGGUUGAGAUCAAAUGUUAGGAUUUUAGAUUGCUGUUCUUGCUUCUCUUCCUUUUGUUUUUUGGAUCUGGAUUAUGAUUUCCAUUUGAGAUUUGAUUUGGGAUUUUGAUUUACAUUUGAGAUUUGAUUUGGGAUUAGGUUAGGGUUUUAUAUGAUUUGUUCAUUAUUUAAGAGAACUAAUUUGUGCUUUUGCUUUUAAAAAUCAUUAGUGGCAAUUUUGAAACUGCCAAUAUGUAAAAACUAGUUAUUGACCGUUUUUUAACUUCAAUUUGGACAUAAUGACCUAAUUGAACCAUUUUUAAAAAUUAAAGGACCAAAUUGAACCAUUUAAUAAUUAGAGGACCAAAUUAAACUUUAAAAAUAAAUUAAAAGAUCAAAACAAUAAUUUAUCCUUUCAAAAUACAAUAUUCUAUGAUUUUUUUUUUACUUUUUUAAUGUUUUUACUUUUUUUUGGAGAGAUUACAUAUAGUAGAUUUUAUUAAUCUUUUUUAAAUAAGAUAAUAUUAUGAGUUUAAUAUUAAUGCACUCAAGGUAUAAACUAGUUUUACACCGUCAUCCAAUCACAAAUCAUCAUUUGAAUUAGUUUAAGAUGAUUAUUUUAAAAGUCAAUAAACUUACCAUACAUGAUGAAUUGUGAUUGGAUGACUGUGUAAAACUUUUUAUACCGUGAGUGCAUAAAUUUAUUUCUCUAAGAAUAUUAUGAGCAAUAUUUGUUUUUUUUAUAUUUAUUUUUUCUAAUGUUAACAUUUAGUUCACCUUAGUUUCUUUUUUUAACGACACACGUAUUUAAGUGGAAUAAAAUCGCUAUAAACAACAACACUCUUUGUGUAACAUAAAAUGAAACAACCUGUACUCAUUUAUCCAUCGUUAAACAAAUUUAGAUUAGAUUAAAAUAAUCUCAUCUCAUAUUAAUAUAAACUUUAAUUUUCCUGCCAGUAAACCUAAUCAAAGCUCAUUAAAAUAAUUAUUAUAAAUUAACAAACUUAAAUGUAGUGUAAUUAAAUUAAAUUAUUAACUAAUAUAAAAUGAAAUGCAUUUGGAAAUUUUAAAAAAAUGGUGCAAUUUUUUUGUUAAAAUGGUCUGUUCAAGUUCAAGAUGAAAAACUGAGAUUCAUGAUUAUCCCUUUGGAUAUUUAUAUUGCUAAAAAAAAUAACAAUCACGAAAAACUUGAAAUACCUCCUUUAUUUAUUUCACCAUAAAUUAUAGGUAUAUUAACAAUCCAUAUAUUUUGACCCCAAGUAGACAUAACUUGAUACAGAGAGAUUAAAUAAUAAUUUCCUGGGCCUAAAGCUCAACUUACUAAACACUUCCUAGAAAAAAUAACUAUGUUUGGAUUGAUGGAAGGAACUGGUAGGAACAAAUUUGUCAUUGUUUGGUUUUAAAAAAAUGAAUAUGGGAGAUGAUGAGAGAAAAUGACACAUGAUGGAUGUCAUCCCACUACUUGAACCCAUUUUGUUUUCCCCUAGAUCGGAGUACAUGAAAUUUGUAUUAAUAAAAUUAUAAAACGUCUAAUUUGACCUUAUUAAAUAUUCUCUAUAUAACUGUUGGUGUUACUUGCGUGGAUAGUUUUUUUUUUUUUGUUUUUUUAUUAUUGCUUAUAUAGCUAUAGUGCCCAGCAAACAACUGAAAGUUUAUAUUUCUCUGUGUUGGGGCUUCUUCCUCUUCGUUGUUGCCUGUUUCUCUUGUGUAAGACACAUGCUUCUUUCCUUCUUGUUUUUUCAGCUUGGUUUAUCAACAUGUGUAUUUCUUAAUGCGUCUCUUUCCUUUCUGCUAUCAUUAUGUAACGUACAACUUUUUUUUUUAAAUUUAUGUAUAGUAAUUGGUGCAUUAAUAUAUAAUAUUAUAUUGUCUAAUGUAGUGAAGAGAUUUCUUUGCUAUUUUUUUUUGGAAUGGCAUACAUAUAUACUACUGAUGACAAUUCGGUGGUAUUUAUUAUUAUUAUUAUUAUUAUUCUGGAAUUACAAUUUGGAGGAGUACAUAUAUAUGGUUAUUAUAUAUUUAUUAUAAUUUUCAUCUAUGAACGUGAUGGAGGGGUUGCUACAUAGCUUGGUCUUUUGAAAUUGAGUAGGUAUCCCUUAUGCUCACAUAGAUACACGAAACAGCGAUCUUUGCAAUGAUUUUUUUUUUUAACUCUUGUAUGAAUGAUAGGAUUGUCUUUGUUGCAGUGACUAAAUUGAGUAAACAAUAUUUUUAAAUGUCCAUAAACACAUCACUCAGUAGUCAUCAUAAAAAGAAAAUAAAAAUAAUAUAAGAAAUGAAAAGUUAUAACUUAUUCUAUUCCAUUCUCUUUUCAAAAAAUGGAAUGAAAUAUUAUCUUUUUAUAAAUUACCCAAGCAAUAAAAUGGUAUUUUUAAUUCAUUCCGUUCCACUAAAUUUUAAUUCAUUCCGCUCGGUUCUCUUCUAGCAAUCCAAACAUAGCCUUAGGGUUAGUCUUGAAAUAAAAUUUCCAUAGCUUUUCAUGGCAUACUUGAUUUCAGAUUUCGCCUUGUACAUAUGAACGGAUUCUCCAAUAGAACUGCACCUUUUUCCUAGAGCUGAAAAAAGAGAGAUAUUCAAUUAUUCAUUCGGGUCCAAAAUGAAAAUGCUCACUCAAUAGGGAAAAAUGUAUAACUUCAAAAGCAAUACACACAACACAAACCACGCCAUUCCUAAAACAGCAUAGCAAAACGGUAAUUGAAGAAACCAUAUCAUAUCACAGAGAAGCAUGUGUAUAGUAGGAUUUAUUUGACACCAGCAUCCUUCCAAUUAUGCCAAAUUCUAUGAUUUCCAAUGCUUACCAAUAAAUUUUUUGCCUCUAUUUCCGAAAUAAACCUACAAAAACACAAUUAACAACAACAAUUAAAUUAAAAUUAGACUAUUCAACAAAAUAAAAUAAAAUAAAAUAAAAAUAGACUAGUUGCAUCUUCUUUCUAUCUAUGCACACGAAGAGCACUCACACAAAAUGUGAAUUAAUUAUUAUUAUUAUUAGGAACACGCCGAACACACUGUUCCCACGAAAAAGCGAGAGUAAUAAUCAAAGUGCCUCAAGCUGUGAAAUCACCAACACGGAAUCAAAUCAACACAUUUGAAUGGAAGGAGAGAAAGACGAGUGCGGGAGGAACCUUACGUGAAGGUGACAAACCGCCGCGAUCGCGUAGUUGUCGUUGACACCGCAGAUGCUGGUGUCGUGAUUUGGAAAUUACAAAAAAUUAGGGUUUAAACCUUCUUUUUGAUGAAACGGUGACUUUAGGAGACAAUAAGAAGCAACUCAGGUUUAAGAAAAGCGGUGAGUUUAAGUGAACAGAUCUCGGCCACACAUUUUAUCCAACGGUUUAGCUUUCUCAAAUUGCAGACGAUCCGUUCCCGUUCAGUGGUGGUGGCCCACUGGCGGCUAUCUUCCAUGGGUAAAACAUAAAACCAUGACAAUGGUGUUUGGGAAGGUUGGAACCUCAAAAACGAAGAAGAAGAAGAACAAGAAGAACAAGAAGAAAAGAAGAAAUGUUAGGGUUAGGAUGCUUAAACCUCAAUCGAUUCUCUCACUUCCCAUCCACUCCCUCUCUACCAUCCUCUCGUUCCGGUCAGUUAACCUUCCACUCUCUCGUUUUCUUCAAAUUCACUAACUGGCAGUGUGUCAUUUUCCCGUGGUUUUGAUUGAGUUGUCUGGUGUAUGGAAAAAUUGAUGUUUUUGUUUUAAGCAAGAGCUGAAUGCAGUCAUGGGUUUUAUGCUAGGACGUGUUUGUUGGGUAUGAUGUUUCCAUUGGGUUCUUUCCGGCAAAAUGGCUAUUUUUUAUUUAUUUAUGCUUAUUAUAAGGCAUUAAUACAUUGUAACCAAGAUUUUAAAUAUCGGUCCGCCACUGUGAUUUUGGCUGCAACAUCAAGGUUUUUUUAACUGUCCGUAACCCCGCAAUUGGGACCUAUCCGCCGCAUUUGUCCGUAAUUUGCCGUGAUAUCAACCAACGUGAUGAAAUCGCAACGCAACCACGAUGGAUAUUUAAAACCUUGAUUGUAACCAUUGGGGGAUACCUGGACAAUUCUUGUUUUCUGUCAUAUGCUUCCGCUAGUUGGGCACAACUUGUUCCCAAUUGGCUUCUUAUUUUAUAUAAUCUUUAUUGGCCAAUAAAUAGAAAAAAAACUUAAUUCACUAACACGAUCUAGUUUUGUUUGAACGUUAAUAUGUAGACAGAUUUACUAAAGGUUGCAUCUCAUAGAUUCGCUUUAUCAGCGACUAAAACACAGCAAUCUUCAGUCACUAAGCCACAAUCCACCUCCACCGCUAUAAUUGUAAGUUCAUUAAAGUUAUCAUUCCAAUUUAUUUGAUUUCAUUGUUUUCUUUGUGAUAAAAUGGUGUUGUGUUGUGUUCUGUUUGGAAUGAUAUAGGAAAUAGAUAACCCAGCCAGUGUCAAAAGGCAACUGGCACAACUGUUUGAUUUGUCUCUGAGGGAAACUGUGCCUGAUGAGCCACAUGUUGUGCCAUUAGUUGAUGCUUGUGCUGUUAAAGGUGGUGCAAAAUUUGGUGAUUAUCAAUGGUUAGUUCAAUUUUUUUCCCUUCUACUUGUUGCAUGUAUUUGAAAUUUUGAGGUUUUAAUUGAGUUUUGCAUUGUUGGAAACUAAUGUUGUUAUGUAUAUAUGCAAACUGAAACAAACAACAUUCACUUGAUGCAGUAAUAACGCAAUGGGUAUAUGGUCUAGGAUGAAAGGAAAGCAGACAGGAUUUAGGGGUCCCCCGGCAAUUGGACAGGUAUGAUUGCAGACAAUUCAUUUUUUUGGCAUUUUCACCACCUGUGUGUUCUUUUUUUAUUCCUCUAUAGUAAUUAGUGAUUUGGAAUGAGAGUUUGGUUCAUUGUUGUUAAAUUGUCAUCUGUAUCUUUUUUUUUAUGUGUAGGCCAUCAUUAACAAUCUUCCUCCAUCUGAAAUGAUAGAUUCGUGCUCUGUAGCUGGUCCUGGAUUUGUCAAUGUUGUAUUGUCAAAGAAGUGGAUUGCUGAGGUGAUGGCAUAUUAGAGAGUAGUAGUAUUACUCCAUAAGUCUUUUUUCUUUUCUGUUAUUGUUAGUGACUGACUCUAGGUUACUCAGUUAUAACUAUGUUGUAUUGUGUAGUUAGGUUGUUAGAACUCUAGUUAGGCAGUUAGAAUUUCAGUGACUAUAUAUAGAGCUCACUCUGUCUGUAAUAAUUUGGCUUUCUGUUUCACAGAAUUAACAGAUUCCCCUUUUCUCUCAAAAACUUUAUUAUGGUAUCAUAGAGCUUGGUUACGAUCCUCUAGGGUUUGUUAUUUUUUCUUUCUUCUUCUUCUUCUAGAAUUUUUCUCCAGCACCUCCUCGCAACGCCACCAUGUCUGAUCCUCCAGUCAAUACAGUUCCUUCGAGUGGUGACACUGGCAGUACUCCGAUCAGGCAAUGUGCUACCGCGUGCUCCUUCGUCAGCGAGUGUUACAUUUUUGCACUUGAUCUCUGAGAAACUCUAUUCUCAGAACUAUCUCCUCUGGUGUCAACAGGUUGAGUGAUUCGUGGCCAUCGUUUGCAUCAUUUUCUUCUGAAUCCUCAAAUUCCGUUGAAGUUCGCGACGUUAGAAGAUCACAAUGCAGGUCGCAUCUCUGAAGCAUAUCUCAAUUGGGAGCUACAGGACCAGCUCCUUCUCUCGUGGCUUCAAGCCACGAUUUCCAGUCCUGUGCUCAAGAAGUUGAUUGGUUGUUCUAGCUCAUGGCAGCUAUGGAAUAAGGUUCACAACUAUUUUCAUGCGCAUAUGACAGCGAAGGCGAGACAGCUUCGCACUGAAUUGCGUCAACAAACUCUUGAAGGUGAAAGUGUUUCUGAUUUUCUUUUUCAAUUCAAACUAUUGUUGGGUCACUUACCUCAAUUGUAGAUCCAAUUUCUGUGAAGGAACACAUAGAUGUUUGUAGAAAGUAAUGAUGAAACUUUUCCCUCUUGUUAAUCAGCAGUAAAACUACUGCUUAUAUAGAGAUAUUACAUAAAGAGUUAUUCCUUAAUUGAAGGAAUAAUAAAGGAAACAGAAUAAAACAUAAAAGAAAGUAUGGAUUCGUAAGAUUUAAGGGGGUGGAUGAUGUGCACCAGCUAGAAAGGAAGUUGGACAACAUUGUCUUGGGUGGGCUAAAGUUGUAUGUCAACAUUCCAAAAUUUGGAAGAGCUAGACUUGGAAUGCCACAACCAGCAACAUGGGGUCGAGCAUAUGCUAGGCAAUAUGAAGAGGAGAACAGAGGUACAUACCCGGCAAUGAAGCAACCAGUGGUCCCGGGACUGAAGUGAGGAUCGUUUGCGGACGCCGUCGUGCACAGAAAACCAACAGCAGACUAGGCGAGACCAUCAACAACUUCUGACUACACAUGUCAUAGCUCGAGAUCAUUGGUGUACCUUGACAUACCUUUGUCAAGGCAAAAAUGGCUUAGCGAAGCAUGGGUGGGGAGAUUAAAGAACCUGGCUUUGUUCGAUAGAGUUGAGGAGGACAUCCUAUGGAAUCUCGGAGCUAACACAUCGCCGAAAUAUAUAGGGGAUGACAUGGUCCUGCUUCUCGGCCUCACAGACGAAAAGGCCCGGCAACUGAUGGAGGAUGAGAACGAACGAGGGGAUUCGAUGGUUCAUACUUGGAGAAAUGGAAUCCGCAGAUGCGGCCUGGGUACAAACUGACAUGGGUGCAGUGUUGGGGAAUACCUAUAAUAGCAUGGGACUCGCAGCAAAUGAAGAAGAUUGUGGCCGGUAUAAGUGAUUUGGUGGAUGUUGAUGACGAUGUGGAGGAACUUCGGAAGAUGGAUAGGGAGAGGAUUCUAGUCAAAACACCAUGGAAGCUGCUAAUACAACAUACUGUCAAUGUACACAUUCAAGGGCAGAUGUUCCCGGUACACAUAACGGAGGAAAAUGACAGCUACUCAAAUACUUGCCAUUGCCGGCACAACGCGGAGUACGGCUCAUCGUAGGAGAUUUUUUUAGAAGAAAGUGAGCCGGGUUUGCCGUGGGGGGUAACGUCGGCGGCGUCGCAGGGCGAAGAUCAAAGGUGGGGUGAGACGAAGGAGCUGCGAGGGAUGGCAGAGGUGGCGGCAGUAACCGGAAGACGAACCUCUCUGAUGGAAGAGGAGGGAAACCAGGGCGGGGCAGAAUCGGAACCCAAUGAGCUAUUAUCCAUUGAACACAACUCAUACCGUGAACCAAAGGAUAAUUGCAUGGACUGUUGGGUUGGUGCGGCGGACCAGGGUAAGGUUAGCGUGACAGUAGUAGCGCUACCAAAAUCGAAACUGCAGUGAACAGAGUUGGCAGCACAGGUCAGGGAGAAGCUGUUAUGCGCGAAAAAGGAGAAGCAGGGACCAAGGGGAAUCGAACCCCUAUCGGGAGGAGAGAGGAUAAGCAUGGAAAAGGAAAAUUGGGUGCAGAAGGGACUGUUGGAGCUGAUGGGAAAAUAACGCUACUCACAAAAGAGGCACGUGACCAGGGGGAGGGAGAUAUAAGUGGGCUGGGUUUUUCUACCCACACCUCCAGUGCACUAACAGCACAGUAGAAAGGCAGUUUUUCGAGAACCCAAGCAGAUCCAACUAAUUCUUGCAGAGUGUACUCCAGGAAAAGGUGGUGCAAAAAGCAACCAGCCCAAAUAUGCCCAGAAAGUCCCACAAACGUAGCCACGGAACAGCAAGCAGCCUCACCAUACUCAGACAACAAAGAAGAUGCCAAUAUGUAGACAAGUGACCAAGAGCAAGGCAGCCAACACAAUUCAUGACAACAAACACUGCAACAGGGCGCAAAUCAGACCAAUAAUUUCAAGAGGCGGAAAAUUUAUGGCAGAUGGUAAAAAGAGUUGGGAGUUACAUGCGGGAAUGUGCAAAGGAACUAUGUGCAACACCUAAUAGAAAUGGAAGAAAGAGAUUCCAAAGAGGCAGAGAGAUUGGGAGGGAGGGGGAGGUGCCAAUGAAUAUCAUCACAUAUAAUGUAAGAGGGUUAGGGAGGGGAGUAAAGUAGCCAGCAAUUAGAAGGAUGGUCAACAAACAACACAUAGACAUGUUAUGUAUACAGGAAACAAAAAAGGAGGUAAUUGAGAGAUCCAUGUGUCAAGCUCUUUGGGGGGAUUCUGAAGUCAGGUGGGAAGCACAACCAUCAACUAACACAGCAGGUGGCAUCCUGUGCAUAUGGAGCGAAAAGACAUUCAUGUUGGAAAGGAAGGUCAUUGGGACAGGUUUUGUAAUGUUGGCAGGGAAGUGGAUUCAGGAAGCACAAACAAUGAAUAUUAUCAGCAUCUACUUACCUUGUGAUAUUCAAAGUAAAAGAGUGCUAUGGGACAAUAUCAAGCAACUGAAAAAUCAAAGCCCUGGGGAAUUAUGGUGCAUAUUGGGGGCUUUCAAUAACAUCAGGAAUCCUUCUGAGAGAUUUGGUGCUUGCCAGAGGGGAUUGGAGGAUAGCAGCUCUAGGGAAUUCAAUGAAUGGAUUGAAGAAAUGGAGGUUGAGGAAGCGCCAUGGGUCGGUAGAAAGUUCACAUGGGUAAGAUCAAACGGAACAACUAGGAGCAAGCUGGAUAGAUUCUUGGUAUCCCCAGAAUGGCUUACCAAAUGGCCUGGAACAUCUCAAUACACAUUGGAGAGGAAUUUCUCUGAUCAUUGCCCGAUACUGUUCAGAUCUAAAUGUGCCGAUUGGGGUCCCAAACCUUUCAGAAUCAUGGAUUGCUGGCUUAAGAAAAGCUGGAAUAUUCGUCAGCUUAAGAAAAGUAAGUUCCGACUUUCUUAAAACCAUCAUUUGGAAGCUUCAAACCAAUAUUUUGAAGACGACGUAGGGAUCUUGGUGAAAUUGGGCAAUAUUGCUAGGAAGAGAGAGCUAGAAUAUCCAUCAGCCUAAGAAAAUCCAAAGCAUGUUCUGAUCUUCUUAAAACCAAGAUUUGGAAGCUUCAACGAAGCAUUGAGACCCAAAAUUAUUCAAAUUGAAGAGAUGAAAUCGUCAUAAAUAGCCAGUGAAGCGAGAGAAGUCACCGAGAAACAUGCCGGAAAAGGACGACAAAAUAGGUGAUGGGAAAGUUCUUUGCUGGAAAAUAAGCGGCAAGCUGAAGGUGGUGGCUGGAAAACACGCUGGAAAAGGAGGCAGCAGAAUAGGUGACUGAAGUUCUUCGUUGUAUGAUGAAUGGCAAGUAGAAGGCAGUGACCGAUAGACCGAUAUGAAUAGAGGGACGAAACACCAGUGGUAGGAGCAGCCGGUAGGGGCAACCACCAUAUCAAAAAGUGUCGUCGAACCAGCAGCCAAAUAUGCUGUUACCCACCAGAAACAAGGAGGUAUUGUCAAACCAGCUCCAAUGGAGCUGAAACUGCAGGGAUAGUGGCAGAAUGAGGGGGGCGACCCCAACAUAAGAAUCGUGCAAGGAAAGAAGGUUGCACGCGCCUGAAACAAACGCUGUUUGGCUGAAGACAGUGUGUUAGAAAAGCUGCGCAUGUGGGAUGGUUGAAGAAGAAUUGUUGGAAAAGGUGCGGCGAGUAUAAAGGUCCACCAGAAAUUGGAAAAAGAAUGAUAGAAGGUAGUGAGCAAAAAGGCUCACCUGGGACAGUGGGUCCUCGGUGAGGGAUGAUUUUUCCUUAUUGUCUUAACCUAGCUCUAAUACCAUGUAAAAUGAGAGAAAAUAUAGAGAAAUAAUAGGCUGAAAUCGUUUCUCAUAGUACACAACGGAUGCUCCUUUAUAUAGAUUAAUUAUAAUUAAUUUAAUUAAUUAUAGGAGAUAUUGUUCCUAUAAUUAAUAAAGACAGAAUAUGAAAUUGAUCCUAUUUUGAUUCUCAACAACCUGGAUAUUUCUACUUAAAAGCAAAUCCGAAUCUCUCUAUGUUCCAACAGUUUCGUGUUAUGGAAGAAAAAUAAUUUAAUUUUCCUGUUAAGUCUGUUCAAAUAGAUUGGGGAGGGGAAUUCAGACCCUUUGCUGCCUUUUUACAACAGUUGACUAUUACUCAUAGAGUCAUUUGUCCAUAUACUCAUCAUCAAAAUGGAGUUGUGGAACGAAAACACAGACAUUGUUGAACUUGGUCUCACUCUUUUGGCUCAAGCAUCUCUUCCUCUUCCUAUUCGGAUUAUGCUUUUCUCACUAGUAUCUAUCUCAUCAAUAGGUUGCCAUCUGCAUCUCUCAAGUUUGAUACUCCUUAUGUUAAAGUGUUUAAUCAACAAUGUUUCUUAGAGUCUUUGGCUGUGCUUGCUUCCUCUUCUUAGGUCUUACAAUAAAAACAAAUUCAGUCGAGGUCUCAAGAGUGUGCCUUCUUGGGUUAUUCCACUGCUCAUAAAGGCUAUGUCUCUGUUGGGAAUGAUUUUGGGAUGCACUAUAACUAUGAUAAACCUCUACAGGUUUAUUAUAGAAGGAAGAAAGUGAUGUGAACCUGACUAGGAGCGGAUCGUUUGAUACAGGCUACGGAGUUUUGGAUGACGCCAAUACCAGUGAAGGAAGAUAAGUCAGAGUAGACGCCACAAGGAUUACCUUGAUAAAUCUGAGAUUGGUUCAACAAGGAACCCAAAGAGAAGCUCUCACCAAAUUUUAUGAAAAUGUCAAAAGUUCCUUUAUUGAAAAACAAAAACUAAUACUUAUAGGGUAUCUGAACAAAAAAAUAAAAAUAGACAUGAGCCUUCUAAACAGUUUGGGCCAAAAUUACAAUAACUGAAAAUUAUAACUAAAAACAUAUUUAACUUGGGCCUUCAGCAGCAAUUAAUAGUCUUGGUAGUGCCUCUGUCUCUGGGCCUUCAUCUUUCUCCACUUGGGCCUUCAAUCAUCAUCAAUGACAGCUAUACAAAUGACCAGCCUUGUCUCUAUGACGUGUUGGACCUGUUUAAGUCUGUCUCUGGUCAUGGGCCCUUUAAGUGCUUCAUGGUCCUUGCCCUUUGUUGUGUCUUCAUCACUGUGUUGGGCCUGUUUAAGUCUGCCUAUGGUGAUGGGCCUGUUUAAGUCUGCCUCUGGUGAUGGGCCCUUCAAAUGCUUCAUGGUCCUUGUCUUUAGGUCCUCAUCACUCCCUCCUUCUUGAAAAGUAUUUGUCCUCAAAUCCAAGGCUCCUCCAUCUGCAUCAAAAAGAGAUAGAUCAGACACAUUGAAAGUCACACUUACAUUAUACUCACUAGGCAAGUCAAUCUUGUAGGCAUUGUUGUUGAUCUUCUCCAACACUUGGAAUGGUCCGUCUCCUCUAGGUUGAAGCUUGGACUUUCUGUGUUUUGGGAACCUCUCCUUCCUCAGGUGUACCCAAACCCAAUCACCUAGUUCAAGCACAACUUUCUUUUUGCUUUUGUUGGCUUGCCUUGCAUAGCUCGCAUUUUUCUUUUCAAUUUGAGCCUUCACUUGCUCAUGCAGCUUCUUCACAUACUCAGCUUUAGCCUGUGCGUCCUUAUGCUUAAACAUAGCAAUGUUAGGCAUAAACAACAAAUCAAGAGGAGUCAAAGGAUUAAAUCCAUAUACUAUCUCAAAUGGUGAACAAUUAGUUGUACUAUGGACAGCCUGAUUAUAAGCAAACUCAACAUGAGGCAAACAUGCUUCCCAAGAUUUAAGAUUUUUCUUUAAAAUAGUCCUAAGCAGUGUGCCUAAAGUCCUAUUGACUACCUCAGUUUGACCAUCAGUUUGUGGGUGACAAAUAGUAGAAAACAACAAUUUUGUACCAAUCUUACCCCACAAGGUCCUCCAAAAGUGACUAAGGAAUUUUGCAUCCCUAUCACUGACAAUGCUCCUCGGUAAUCCAUGAAGUCGCACUAUUUCUUUGAAAAACAAAUCAGUCACAUGACAAGCGUCAUCCACUUUCUUGCAAGGGAUGAAGUGUGCCAUCUUAGAAAACCUGUCAACAACAACAAACACAGAAUCCUUUCCAUUCUUGGUUUUGGGCAGCCCCAAAACAAAGUCCAUAGAUAUGUCAGUCCAAGGAUAUUCAGGAACAGGCAAAGGAGUAUACAAUCCAUGAGGUUUAACCUUAGAUUUAGCAUGUUUGCACACAAUGCAAUGACCACAAAACUUAUGCACUUCAAGCCUCAUAUGAGGCCAAAAGGAAUGCUCUUGCAGAAUUUCCAGGGUCUUUUGAAUCCCAAAGUGUCCCAUCAACCCCCCUCAUGUGAUUCACUGACAAACAACUCUCUAAUGGAACACUUAGGCACACACAAUUUAUUUGCUUUAAACAAGAAUCCAUUAUGCCUAUAGUAACCAUUUUCAGAAAACUUUUCACAUGCUGCAAAAAUUUCAGCAAAGUCCACAUCAUGCACAUACAUGUCUUUCAAAGACCCGAGACCAAACAAUUUAGUUUCAAGCAUAGCAAGUAAAGCAUGUCUCCUAGACAGCGCAUCAGCCACUACAUUCCCUUUCCCCAUUUUAUGUUUGAUGACAUAUGGAAAUUGCUCUAAAAACUCUACCCACUUAGCAUGCCUCUUAUUAAGCUUUCCUUGGCCUUUUAAGUAUUUUAAGGACUCGUGAUCACUAUGGAUGACAAACUCUUUGGGUAAUAAGUAAUGCUGCCAAGUUUGUAAAGCUCUAACCAAAGCAUACAAUUCCUUAUUAUAAGUUGAAUAGUUAAGGGCAGCGGCUCCUAACUUUUCACUAAAAUAAGCUAUCGGAUGUCCCUCUUGCAACAAAACAGCCCCAAUACUCACAUUUGACGCAUCACACUCAAUUUCAAAUGAUUUUGCAAAAUUAGGCAUAACAAGAAUGGGUGCAUUAGUUAACCUAUGUUUGAGGGCAGCAAAGGCCUCUUCUUGUUUCUUACCCUAUUUGAAACCCACAUUCUUCUUAACAACUUCAGUUAGAGGUGCAUCCAAUGUACUAAAAUCCUUAACAAAUCUCCUAUAGAAACUUGCUAAACCAUGAAAUCCUCUCACCUCACUCACGGUCUUAGGUGUUGGCCAUUCUUAGAUGGCCUUAACCUUUUCCACAUCCACCCAUACUCUAUCAACACUAACAACAAAACCCAGAAACACCACAUGAUCAGUACAAAAGGAGCACUUUUCUAGGUUGGCAUACAAUUUUUCUUUCCUAAGCGCACUUAAAACAGAUUGCAAAUGUUCAACAUGCAAAUCAAGACUGGUGCUAUAGAUAAGAAUAUCAUCAAAGUACACCACCACAAAUUUCCCAAUAAAUUCCCUUAAAACAUGGUUCAUCAAUCUCAUGAAAGUACUAGGUGUAUUAGUCAAACCAAAUGGCAUAACCAUCCACCCAUACAAACCAUAUUUUGUUUUAAAGACAGUUUUCCAUUCAUCUCCCUCCCUGAUUCUAAUCUGAUUAUAGCCACUUUUCAAAUCAAUUUUAGAAAACACACAUGCACCAUACAGUUCAUCAAGAAGAUCAUCUAACCUGGGGAUUGGAUGCCUAUACUUGAUGGUGAUGUUGUUUAUGGCUCUACAAUCAGAACACAUCCUCCAUGAGCCGUCCUUCUUGGGUACUAGAAUGACAGGUACAGCACACGGACUCAUACUAUCUCUCACCCAACCUUUGCACAGGAGUUCAGACCCUUGCCUUUCGAUCUCCUUAGUUUCUUGUGGGUUGCUCCUAUAAGCUGGCCGAUUGGACAAGGACGCUCCUGGAAUGAGAUCAAUGUGAUGCUCAAUUCCCCUUAAUGGUGGCAAAUCAUCCGGUACACUUGCUGGAAACACAUCAUCAAAAUCCUGCAGAAGAGACUGAAUACCAGAAGGCAAUUUAAAUUCAUCAAUUGGGUUAGCAUGCAACAUCUGACGUUGAGAAAACAAUAAAUAGAGGGGUUGUCUCGCACAAAGCACCCUCCUUACCUUCCUUUUUGUUGCUAAACAAAGCUGUUUGCCCUCAAGUGUUUCACUCUUUUUGUUUUCUCUCUGUGUUUCACUCUUUUUCUUUCCUCUCUUUUCCUUCUCAAGUGUCUCACUCUUUUUUCUCUCAAGUGUCUCACUCUUUCUUUUCUCUCAUUUUUAUCUGAUCCUCACAAACCUCUCUAGGGGAUAACGGUUUGAGAAUAAUUUUCUUGUCAUCUUGCUUGAAAGAGAUUUUGUUGGUGAAGCCAUCAUGCACUGCCUUGGUAUCAUAUUGCCACGGUCUUCCUAACAGCACAUGGGUCGCUUCCAUUGGGACCACAUCACACAACACCCUAUCAUUAUAUCUCCCAAUGGUGAGACACACCUCAACCUGUUGAGUCACUUUUACCUCUUCAUCUUCACUAAGCCACUGAAGUUUGUAUGGUCUAGUAUGAGGCUUAGUUUCCAAAUUCAGUUUGGUCACUAAUCUGGAACUUGUAACAUUGGUACAACUUCCUCCAUCAACAAUUAAGGAGCAUAGCUUACCAUUAAUUACACACCUGGUGUGGAAAAUGUUUUCUCUUUGAUUGUCAUCCAGUAGCUGCAUCUGAUUUCCCAACAACCUUCUCACCAUCAGCAUAUCACCCUGCAUAGCUUCCUCCUCAUACUAUUCUUUCACUUCUUCUUCACUGAUUUCAGACUCACUAGUGAUUUCUCCAUCAGCCUUCAUGAUCAUGGUCCUCCUGGUUGGACAUUCAGAAGCAAUACGUCCUCUGUCUAAGCACUUGAAGCAUUUUAUGUUUCUGGUUCCAAUAUUGGAUGAGGAAGUGGAGGUGUUAUGUUUGCUUACACCUACACUGGACACUGCUGACUUUCCAUGCGGGGAUGUGGCUGCAGGGCGGAACGAAUUACCUCCCUUCUUCUUGGAUCUGUUGGCCCAGUUCGGGUUGUAAGUAUUGGGUGAGUUCCUCCUUGUUGCACUUUUAAUUUGCUAUAAGAGAGGUUAUCAAGAAAGAUCUCGAACUUAAUGAUUUGGAUAAAAGUAUGGUACUUGAUAGAACAUUAUGGCGGAAGUUGAUCCAUGUAGCCGACCCCACCUAGUGGGAUAAGGCGUUGUUGUUGUUGUUGCUGCUGUUCAACCCGGAGUGCCCUAUGUAACAAGUCAUCCAACGCCACAUACUCCUGUAAUUCAACAUCUCUGAUUUUAGGGUUUAGACCAUUCAGGAAACGAGCCAUUGUGUCUUUAGAUUCCUCUUCGAUGUUGGCCUUCACUAAUGCCAUUUCCAUCUCUUUAUAAUAUUCUUCCACAGUUAAAUUCCCUUGGGACAGCCCUUGGAGUUUCUGUCGCAUGGUUCUGUUAUAGCUAGUGGGCACAUACCUUUUUCUCAUCACCCUUUUCAUCUCAGUCCAUGUAUCUACCUCUCGUCGUUCCUCUCUUAGCAUUUCUCCCUGGUAUUUAUGCCACCAAACAAGGACAUAGUCGGAGAAUUCAGCUGCUAUUAGCUUGACUUUCUGCUCUUCAGUGUAGUCAUUGUAGGCAAAUACAUGCUCAAUCUUCAUUUCCCAGUCCAGGUAGGCAUUUGGAUCACUUCUGCCUUUGAAGGGAGGAACAAUGAGCUUUACUUCCUCAACCCGGUUCUGCCUCGGUCCGUCAUUACCGCCAUUGUUACCUCUGUUCCCAUCUAUAUUUCGUCUAGCAUUCUGAUUGGCUUGGUUCUCCAAAAAUUCUAGUUGUCCAAAGACCUCAUUGUUACGGUCUAGCAAACGUUGCAUUUGUGCAUUCAUCGCGUCCAGCAACAGACGCUGAGCUCCGUCCAAUUGAUGAUACUCAUCACCACCACCACCUGCUCCAGCCAUAAUUCAACAGAGAAAAAUAAAAGUUUGCAAUAAAAAUUAUUAAGGUUUCAGGACCUCACCACACUUUACUCAUGUGUUUAACUCUUAGAUGGUAGUACGCUCGUGUUUGAUGCUCUCAAUAGGCUUUUGUGUAAUGUAUUCCCUCUUGCCUUUUACCACUCGUGUUCCCUCUUAAGUUCCUGGAUGGACCAAAUUAGACACACAAGAUAAUAUAAAAUAAAAGGAAAGACAAUAUAAUGAUCACAGACAGAUUUGAUUUGGGAUAACAAUUUGGACUUGAUUUGGAUAAGAGAUUGGAUUUGAUUUGGAUAAAAGACUAGAUUUGAUUUGGAUAAUAUAUUAGAUUGGAUUUUUAUAAUAUAUUAGAUUGGAUUUGGAUAACAGAUUAGCUUUAAUUUGGAUAACAGAUAUGAUAACAAAUAAGAUAUUAGGUAGGAUAACAGAUAAGAUAACAGAUAUGACAAGUAAACUUCAAAUGCUCAUAACUUUUGCUACGGUUGUCCGUUUGAGGCCCACUAUAUAUUAAAAUGCUCAAAAUUCAGAGGAGAAUCUAGAUAAGUGGAGUUGAUCCACGAUUUUCUUUCCAAAUAAAACACCUCUAAAUGCCUCAAUUUCGUGUUCAAAGAUCAAACACUCAAAUCUCUUCCAAACUUUUUUUUUUGCAACUGUUUUCUGUUUUUUUUUUGUCUUUCUUUCUUUCUUUUUUUUUGCAACUAUUUUCUGUUUCUCUUUUUUUUUUCAGACGUCCAGCAAUUAGAAUUCGUUCAAUAGGCAAUCAUCAUUAGGCAAAUUUGACAAUUUAGCAAUUCGGCAAUUUUUACCCAAACAGAAUUCGAAUAGGCUGAAACUAAAGUUAUGAACAGAAGACAGAAUACAAUACGACAGCCACAAACAGAACUCAAACAGAUUUUUUUUUUGGACAUAAAGUUUGAAAGACACAAGAAACAAAAACAAGAACAAGAAACAAGAAACAAGAACAAGAAUAAAAAACGUGACAAGAACAAGAACAGGAACGAAAAAACGUGACAAGAACAAGAACAAGAACGAAACAAAGACACAAACAAGAAUGCAACAAGACGCAAACAAGAAAAUCAAUAACAGAACAAGGACAAAACACGAACCUGGACAAAUUACAACGAAAAAUAAUAGGAUAGGAUAGAACCUGUAUCAAGAACCGAAGCUCUGAUACCAGAUGAUGUGAACCUGACUAGGAGCGGAUCGUUUGAUACAGGCUACGGAGUUUUGGAUGGCGCCACUUCCAGUGAAGGAAGAUAAGUCAGAGUAGACGCCACAAGAAUUACCUUCAUAAGUCUGAGAUUGGUUCAACAAGGAACCCAGAGAGAAACUCUCACCAAAUUUUAUGAAAAUGCCAAAAGUUCCUUUAUUGAAAAACAAAAACCAAUACUUAUAGUGUAUCUGAACAAAAAGAUAAAAAUAGACAUGGGCCUUCUAAACAGUUUGGGCCAAAAUUACAAUAACUAAAAAUUAUAACUAAAAACAUAUUUAACUUGGGCCUUCAAAUUAGUUUGGGCCUUCAGCAUCAAUUAAUAGUCUUGGUAGUGCCUCUGCCUCUGGGCCUUCAUCUUUCUCCACUUGGGCCUUCAAUCAUCAUCAAUGGCAGCUAUACAAAUGACCAACCUUGUCUCUAUGACUUGUUGGGCCUGUUUAAGUCUGCCUCUGGUCUUGGGCCCUUCAAGUGCUUCAUGGUCCUUGCCCUUUGUUGUGUCCUCAUCACUGGGUUGGUGAUAUGAACCCUCAUGGCACAAGGGCUGACUUAGGAUCGUCUAGGAUUGAAACACUUCACAUCUCUACUCCAUUUAGAGGGUUCCUCUUGGGACUUUGAGCGAGUUUUUGAUGGGAUAGGUGUGGAACUACUAGAAGUAGCAGCCCUAUCUUUCUUACCUUUGUCUUUCCAACUAGAAGAACCAAAGUUGGUAAAACUUCUCUUAUCCACUCCCUUCCUUUUUAAUUGUUGCUCCACUUGGAUUGAUCCAAAACGAGGUGAAAGGUCUCGUUUUGAAAGUCAAUUUAGGCUCAAGAACCACUUAAUUUGAGUGCGUAAAAUGGGAGUUAUGACCACGAGAUAAUUCUUGGCAGAGGUGGAUUUUCUGGAAUUGUGGUUUGAAAGAACAAUGGUGAAGAUGAAAGGAAGGAAAGAACCACUCUUUCCA